rnacentral:lncRNA from 1 species
ACUACUUUUUUUUUUAUUUUCUCACUCUCUCUCUCUCUCUCUCUCAUACACUAAUUUAUUCAGUGAGGUCCACAUCAAUUUUCACAAUAAUUAUGUCCUGAUCUUUUCACUCUUUUUUAUUUUGGUCCCUAAUUUAUCAACUUUGCAAACUCUUCGAGCAUAACUGUCGGCAUCUUCGUGUCUCUCAUCAACCAGCUACUCAUUGAGAAAACUAUAGAGAUUUUUGGCACCAAAAAGAGCCCUAAAGAAGAUCGCAACGAGCUUUCUAAAUUUAGUACACUGCCCAACUGAGAAGACAGUUGGACGAAUUAUUAGAGAAUUGGAACUCAUUGUCAGACCACUUAGACAAGAGAGAAGCACUUCGAGCUGAUAAUUGGGAGAUAAUGGUGAAUCUAAGUUGAGAAUAGGUUAAAGAAACGAAAGGGAUUACUUAAUAUGUUUACAAGACCGAAAUAAAGGUAUGCGUUCAAUAUUUGGUUGAAAAGAAAUCUACAUGAGUUUAUGUCACCGGAGUUGUCCAGUUAGAUGAGGUCCUCUCUAUUGCAGUAAUUGUACAUAAGAAUAACAUCUUAGCCAAAGAUUUUCAUGUUGCCACAAGAGUAAGUUUCUUUAAAACAUCAUUUCAAUAUGAAAUUAUCAUGUUAUCCAUGAUUUAUGCGCUUUACUAUCUCACAUGGCACAACAUGAAUAAUUUGAAAUACAGCUUAUGUCACGCCCCGAGACCACCCGCCUCUUUGGCCGGGUCGCGGCGCGCCGACAGAUCGCCGAACGGACAGGGUUUCCCCUGUACUGCGGAUAGAGUCUCCCCUGUACAUUCAAGACAUAGCAAUCAAUACAAGUACAAUGAGUUCCAACCAGGAACAGUAUUCAAGCAAGAUUGCAGAAGAAAGAUAUCAACAACAUAACACAUUCUAUGUUACUACAAGCAUUCACAUUAGAUUCAUUUUACAUAACAAUUACAUAAUACAUUCUUUUUAGCUUCCAAAUACAAUCUAUCUUUAACAAUAUUAUUACAACUUGAUCCUUUUCAUUUUCUUACAUCCCUAAGUAAGGCCGACUCAGGGUACCGCUAUCUCUGGUCUCGGUGGUAGGGCGCUAACUAUGGAACUACGCCCUCACCUCGCGCCGCCGCGCCGCUCACGUGCGAACCUGUAACACCCCAAAACUACGUGAGGUGAGAACUAACUCCAUAGUUCCCAGUGGGUACGGCCAUCCAAGGGAAAAGCUUGACCAAUAGGUCCAAGGGAGGCAACUGCAAGUUAGUUCAAUAAACACAUAAAUUUAUAUCUUUAUUAUGCAACUAAUAAAACCAUGCUUUGCCUCACGAAUGCAAUAAUGCCAUGCUAUAUGCGAAUCAUGCAACUAUACAAGUAGAAUAAAUGAUUUUACUUUGUAUCAUACUAUCCAUAGCUUUUUCAUAAUUUAUACAUCUUAUCACUUUACAUCAUUGGUUAUUUGCUCCUAAGGUUUUCCUCUACCCUAGCCAAGCUAACCACCGGACUCGGUCUCGAGUCAAUCAACUGCUGAAUACCGCACCAAAACUAGGCUCGAGAUGAUGGACGUCUCACAUACACCUCAGCCCUAAAUCCUCUCAACUGGGAUACCAAACCCGUAACAGAUAAUGAAGAGAGAUGAAGCUAAUGUAAGCCGGUCAUUGAGCUUCUGGAUAUGUGAGAACCUAGUGAUAGGCCUUUGAGGGAUUGAAAUACAUGCCUGAACAUCAAUUGCUAAUGUCAUCAAAGGGGCACUAGCGAGCAAAUGUUAAAACUUCACAUUUUGACUUAAACUAGAUCUUCGUGAUGCUAGUGACCGCAUACCAUGUUAGAGACAUGAGAUAUGGACAACUUUGAGAUUUGGGACUAUGCUUGGUUUGCCAUUUUGUGCUCAUAUCGCACAUUGCUUUGAGGGUCGCUCCUACAAGCGGCACUCGAGUUAGCUACGACGACUUUAUGUUGUCGUUAGCGUUUAAAAAAAAAAAAAAAAAAAAAAAAAAAUUAAAAAAAAAAAAAAAAAUAAAAAAAUAAAAGAAAAUAUGUAUAAAAAAUAAAAGAAAUAAAAACAAUAAAAAAGAAAAAAAAAAUAAUCGAAAGCUACGGGUCGAGUGGGACAGACACAUUCCAUGAGUAGGAAUCGGGCUAAGCCACAGGCACUUAGGCGGCACAAUGCUGGACUAACUCUUGGGUCAGGGGGUCGCUAAUUGAUAUUGGACAAUCGACACGGGGUUGCGAGGAUGUAAUGAUCACUACUAGAUAAGACUUAGUAAGUUGGGUUACAUUUACAUGCUUUAGGGCAGUAUGUGAUGAGACUGUAAGUAUACUUGGUGGCCAUGAUAAACAUCUACAUCAUGUAUCACAAAGGUAACAGCAUAAUACUAGUGUGAUUGGGGGACUCUUAAUUGUAAUGUAGAUAGAUUAAUUUUGGUUACUGCAUGCUUAUUUGGAGACAGCAGUAACUAGCAUUUUCAUGUUAUACUUUUCUUUUCAGCAGUUUAGAUAUGCUUAUUGAUUUUAUUAUUAUCGUUACUAUACCCUUGNNNNNNNNNNNNNNNNNNNNNNNNNNNNNNNNNNNNNNNNNNNNNNNNNNNNNNNNNNNNNNNNNNNNNNNNNNNNNNNNNNNNNNNNNNNNNNNNNNNNUGUCGGUGGUCCCCUGCUCUGGAGUGAAGUGGCAGGUGCAGUCCAGCUGACGAGGGAUGCAGGCACAGACUCUGGCACUUGCAACGAAAGUGCCGUCCUGCCGCAAAGAAAAACCUGCCCACGCUGUGGACAACUGUGGCGGCGUGAGGCCACCACAGAUAAACAACGUGCGCGGUCGACGAACGCUCGGGUGCCCGACGGUGCCUGAAGACAAGCUCGACCCUCGACUGUCCUUGAAUGUCCCCUUGAUACUUUUGGGGUUCCUAAAGGACUGCCUGCACAUGCUCUCACUGCAGGGUCUCUUCCUUUGCAUUCGAUCAAACAUCUUUCCUUCGAAUAUCUCCGCCCUUUUCACGGUCAAGGCCGGUUCACUACAUCCAGUAGUAGAGAGGUUUGAACGCGCUGGACAAUAUCUGAAGAUCGCAGGUCGCAAACCCACCUCAAAAAUACGAGCCUUGUCCUCAUCGUCUCGAACUACAAAAGGAACACAGUGCAGUAAUCGGGAGAACUCUCGCUCAUACUCUGCCACUGUCCUGUCCCCCUGUCUCAAAUUUCUCAGAUCUCUUUCCAUCUGCCUCUUCACACUCUGUGGAAAAUAGGUCGUCAACAACAAUUCCUUGAACCUGUUCCACGUGAUAGCAGCCAAAUCAGCACGGGGAUCCUCCCGGAUGUCCACCCACCACCUGUAAGCCUCGCCAUCAAGGUGGUGUGUCGCAAACCAGACUCGGUACCGCUCCUCAACAAAGGUAUCAUAAAAUAGCUUCUCCAUAUGCAUCAGCCAUUUUUCAACCACCCAAUGAUCGGCUUUCUCCCCGUCAAAGAUAUGAGGGUUGCAGCGACGGAAGUCAUUUAAUCGUUCCAUCAUCCGCUCUCGCUCCUCAACCCCCACCAUCUCGGGUAACACUGUCCCAGCUGCUGCUACAGGUACUGGUGGUGGUACUACUGUCUCCUGUCGGGUCUCUGCCCUCGGAGCUACUGGGGGUGUGUCAAGUACAGGUGACUGUGCUCUCACUGUGGUGCCCCUCUCUGGUGCUAUAGGUACAGAAUCUGGAAUCUCUCUGUCGGUCGUCUGCCGCAGUAACAGAUCCUCUAACCUCUUCAUCCUGUCCUCCUGCCGACGCGCAGCGUCCAUCUGCUGUCGUGCUGCCGCGGCCUGCUGAGUAACCAACUCUGUCAACGUCACAAGCUGAUCCUGCAACUCAUGGAGCUCACUGGACCCCGAAGUGACGGAAGUCUCAACUUCUUCCGCAGCGGCUGCCUCAGCCGCCCCGGCAGUUCCAGAACGAGUCGUAGGCAUCUUGAACUGCAACACAAAAACAAACAUAGGUUAAUAAACCCUAUACUAUUGAACCCUCUUAGAGGAUAUAAACCAACUAAUUAAGCGAAAGUAAUGAAAUGUAACGCGUACUAACUUCCGAUGUCACGUUGUCGGCCGCCAACGUGACCCUCUGCAAAGUUAGUACUUGCACAUCCCAAUCAAACUCCUACUAUUCGGAGUUUAUAAGUACCCAAUCAAAGCACUUUCGCUAACAACAACCUAGACUAGACAUCGUCUCUCACGUGCCUAUUCUUAUAGUCCAACCAGCCUAAGGUUUGCUCGGUCUACUAAGACUCAACCCUAGGCUCUGAUACCACUAUAAUCUGUCACGCCCGGGUACCAGCGGAAGCAUAUCCGGCACGUGCACAGACCCGCCAUACACCUGCAGUAUAUAAGGCGUCUACAAGCAACAAGUCGAAAGGAAGUAAAACAAAGAAAGUCCUAUCCUGAUAUCAAAGCAAUGUACAGGUCGAUAUAUAUAUCAACAAAAGAACAAAGAGUGUACAAUCCCAAAAUCUCGACUAAAGAGAAGUAUCACAACUGUAAUUCACGGUCCAAGUAGUACAUAUACAUCACGAGGAUACAAAAAUAGGAUAGAUACAAUGAUGGUUUCUCUAUACAUAGGGACAUCACCCUCGGCCGUAGCCCGAGCAACAAGGUGAUCGACUAGCACGCUCCUAGUAGUCCCUAGCUAGGCGCGACUCCCUUGCCACGAUCCCUAGCCUCUCCUGUAACAGGCUCUGUAAAAACAACCACCAAAAGGGCGUGAGAACUAUAAACAAUAGUUCCCAGUGGGUAAGCCGCCAGCCUCGGCGAAUUACACCACUAGGCUCAUGAUGUACUAAAUGGAAAUAAAAGCAGUAAUUUGCAUGAUAUAGAAAUAUGCAGUGCUAACCGGUGACAGGCAUGUAUUCAACAUGUAAACAUGAUUUCUGCAGUAAUGAAUCAAGUAAAUAAUAGAAGUAUUGCAACUACUAUGAACAUGAUCUUAAACAUAAUCAUAGAAAUGUAAGUACUACUGUACACUUACAACUGAUACUCAUUCAUUACUAUCACUAUCAUUACCAUUUUUAUUUUCAUUCUCAUUCAAUAGGACCUACUCAAGGUAGUCCAGCUUGCGCCGCGCCUAAUGGCCCCGUGGUAGUAUACACUCCCCACGGCAAUCCACUUCGGCACCCAAUCCCGCACGGGCGAGCAACUGUCGCGUAGGCCAACUCCGGAGUGCCGGCUUGUAGGGAGCUACCCUCACAAGCGUGUGCGAAUGAGCACGAUGGCAAGCAAGCAAAGUCCAUUGUCCACAUGUCACAAUUUUCAUAUUAUCAAUACAAAGUUCAUAACCCUCGAUCCUCUGAUCGGAAUAUCAAUACACAAAUAGUAACAAAAGCUAGUAUCCACUAGAUUGUAAACAUGUAAGGGUAAAGCUAAAUCACAUAGCAUUAUAAUCUUUCCACUAGUAUGGCACUAUCAACAUAGUCAUGAGCAUGUCAUAGUUCUCUAUAUUAGAGUCAGGAGAAUAUCAUUGUUCUCUACUUUAAAGUGCAUCCUACACUUGUUCAUAAGCCAUUCAACUGUAUUGAAUAUGAAUAGAAAUACUUUCAUGUAUAUAUGUUCUCUAUAUCAUAGAAACAUAAUAACCUGAUCUCCUGAUUGUUCUACUGAACUAAACAAGAAUACUUUAAUGCAUGAGUACUUUUAUGCAUGAACGCUCAUUUCACAUAUGAUAAACGUCAUGAUGACGAAUUCCGAGCCCUUUAACAAUCACAUAGGCAUAUAAUUAAACCACGUCUAUAAUACAUAUAGAACAUAGGGGGCUUCACUUGCUCUGGUUAGGUCAAACCCACAUAGUAUUAGGCUCUAAAUCAGUCCAAGAAGUCUCAAGGAUCAGCUCCACUAGGUCUCAAUCCUGCUGAACAUGAAGCACAAAGAUCGGAUCAAAUCACAAUUGAAAUGUCCAAUUUCGGCGCAAUUGCACUUAAUACAUAGGAAUAGCUUAAAUCCCUAUUUUGGCUUAGUUCAAUACCUCACGUUAAGCUUCCAAAAGGUCCUCCAAGGCCAAAGGAAGGCGGUCCAAGGGUCCAACACCUUCUCGCUGUGAACAAUUCCGAAACGACAACAAACUCAUCAAUAAUAGCAAUUAUGGUCGGAAUCUUGCAAUUUCGGCUUCCUAACUGAAAUUCUUACUUACCUUAGGGUAGAACAACUUCCAAACCAGCUUCAACGAGUACACGUUCAGCUCAACGAGGCUCGAAGACCUGCUGCGAAGUCAACGUACAAAACUGCAUCAAGUAGCGGCAAUAACUCGCGUUUAAUUCCAAAUUAGCUUCAUAAUGAACUAAUUAUUGCUACUAAGCUUCAACAUAGCUUAUCCCUGGUCUAAGGGGGUUCAUUCACAGCUAGUUAACUCAUUUUCACAUGCUGAAAUCUCAGGUUAAAACAGCAGGGAACAAAAUCUUGAAAUCAAUACUCGAUUCGACUAAUAGAACGUCGACAAUGGAAUAGAUGAGUCGAUUACCUCUAUUAUGCUUCCAACCAGUGAACAACUGGUCCAGAGCUGCGGAAACCCGUCCAAAAUACUCUCUCACACGUCCACGAAGGCUCAGCAACACUCCCAAACAGCGAAGGGCGAGCUCGGCGACGACAACGGUGCAAAACGGCGACUUUUCUCUAGAGAGAGAAAAACCCUAGAGAGAGAGAAAGAGAAAAAUGGGAGAACCCUUCUCUGGACCCCAGACCCUUCCACAGAGCUCCUGGAGUCGUGCUGGGGGUUAUAGAUAAGGAUCACAAUGUGAAAAGACCAAAAUAGCCUUGCUGCCACGAAUUGCCACUGUGUACCGGUACACCAUUGCGGCUGUACCGGUACAGCAAGCAGAAAAGGCUGAUUUUCGCCAGUUCAAUGCACUUUCUCACUUUUCGCAUUCCAAUCAUCCUCUAACUUAUCCAAACACUUGCUCUAACCUUUUAGAACAUGUAGGAGUGAUCCACACACCAUUCCACAUACUCGAACUCCGCAAUUUGCAAAAGUUCAGUGUAUUACAAUGUGAUAUCGAGAAAUUAAUAGUAAGAGGUCACUUCAUUACUUUUGCAUGAUUGGGAUAGUGUGGUUAUGAGUAGGACUGCGAUAGCAUGGGUUAUUUUAACCUGUGCUUGUUGUGUUUGUUACAGCUUGUGAUGACGACGACACGAACUACGACAGCUGAGGCGACCGAGCCGGAGAAGCCUGUAUCCCUCCGAUCCGGCGAGAUUCGGGAGUUGAGAGAGCAGUUGGCCACUUUAGUUGGCGUGGUGGAGCGACAAUCGAGCGUGGCGCUACUUCAAGCCGAGGCUUUGCGCCGACAGGACACUACAACAAUUUGAUGAUUUAGCAACAUAAAAUUAGCAACAUUUAGUUGAAUAAUGCUAUUUCUAAUAUUUAGUAACGUUAUUAUUUAAUUGUCGCCGAAUGUAACGAUGUAGUGACAUUUAGCACUUGUGUUGCUAAAUAUAAUAAAUUAGAUGCAGAUAAUAUUAAAUGUUACUUUCUUUACCAACAUUUAAAAAAAAAGUGUUGCUGAAUGAUUACUAAUUAGUGGCAUACAUUACUAUAUGCCACAAAACGUCCAUUUUAUUCAAGUGUGCAUUCUCGCUUAAUUUUUCUUUUCCUGCACACUAUUUCGAAAUUCGCGCUCUUCUGUCCUGAAUCAUCAUAUCACUCCAACAAAAUCCAAAUUUGAACCCUAACCCUCCUCUUUCUCUAUAUAUGUGCUCUAGCAACGAGAUAGAGUGUGGAAGAGUGCCUAUCCACAGCAUCCAUCCCACUGCUGCUACUAGAAGCAUCCGCUUUAGUCCAUGGCCUCUUUGCCACCAUGCUACCUUCACCACCAGCAUAUCAAGUUUCAUCCCUUGUUCAAUAUGAAAAGCAGUGAAUUAGAACAUUUAAAGCAAUUCACCCACAUAGUCGCUCGCCCUAUCUCUAUGGUUUUUGAAUAUGAAAAGGGGUAAAGCUUGUCAAUAUCUGGUGCCCAUAUUAAAGGUAAUUAAUUUCUUGCUAAUUAUAAUAACACUAGCCUUAAUUUCUCUUUAUAUGUUUGUGCAAAUAAUAGUUUGGGAGAUUUUAGAAGCAAAACAUCUAAUGAGAAUGUCAUAUUUUACAAUAACACGAUAAGAUAUUAUUUAAAUGCUAGUGAUGUGCAAGUAGUUCAAUAGGUGUUUGAUAAAAUAUCUAAAAGAUUUCAAUUUGUUGGAUUCCGUGGUAUUUGGUUAUACAAGUAGCAGAGACACUUAAUUAAUACAAGAGAUCUUUUGAUUAAAUGUAAGAAACAUCACUUUUCAAAAGUUUUGACUAGUAGCCGCAUACUAUAUGUGGACCUUUUUAUUGCUUAUGGUAAUAUAAUAUAGACUUUAUUAACUAUUUACAAAAUAGAGCAAAUUAUAUAUUAUCUUAAGUCUUUGUUGGUUUUUUCUACAGGUUAAGCAUGGGUGAGAUUGUGAAUUUGCUUCUACUACGAAUAUAAGUUUGGAAACCUUAGAACUAAAAGGAGGCAGAGCUACUUAGUUUUUCUCCUUUUUUUUUAUGAUCAUAUUUGUGUAUGAGAGACUUCAUCGCUUUUGUAUUUAGAUACACUUGGUUUUUUUUUUAUUUUUUGCUGUGUACAUAAAUCUAGAAACUAGUGUUUUGUAAUACCUUGUUGAUAAAUGAAUGCAUUAAAAUUUUUAUAUAAUUAAUUUAUUUGUUGAAAUAUUGAUUGGUUCUUUGUUUGGUUAAAAUUGUAUAUAUUAUUUUGAUAUUAAUGACUUAAUUGUGGCUGUGAAAAGGAAAUGUUGCUAUAUAUACGAGAUAGUGAAUUUGCUAAUUAUGCAUUAAAUUUAAAAAAAAUUAGUAAUGCUGCAUAAGUUGUCUUUAAAGUCUGCCUCUUUUAGCGGCAUUUACCAAAUGUCUCUGUAUACCCUACUAUUAGCAACAUUCUAUUUUUGUUGCUAAUUAAUCUAUAUAGGCAGCAUUUUGUUAUUGUUGCUAAUAGAUCCACAAAAGCAGCAUUUUGCAGAAAUGUUGCUAAUAGAAUCGACAACAUUGGCAUAGGCAACACAAGAAAAUAAAUGCCACUAAAUGUUUGAGUGGCAUAUCAUGAACUUUUAGCAACAUAUAAAUAUGUCGCUAAAUAACAAUUUUUUAGUAGUGGGACAAGGGAAUCAGACGAUUGGAGAGCCUGUUGAUUCAGCAGACGACUGACCUUACGAGGUUCCAGGAGGUUUCGGAUCGCGUUUUGACUCCGGGGAGAGACGCGGAGACUAUUAGGACGGCAAAGGAGACCACCAAGAGUGACAAGUUGCACGUCGGUGAAUCAUCGCAUUCGGACUUUCCGAAGCAUACCAACUCGACAACUAGUCGAUUCUAAACGAAGUCUAACUCUCGGAUUUCGAGAAUUCACUUCCUUACAUCCUCCCCACCUUAAAAGAGUUUCGUGCUCGAAACGAACUCAAUUCACCUAAACUUAACUUAAUUCAACUCUAAAUCAUACCUCAACUCAAUCCUCAAACAAGUGAGGAUGGUGCGUCUUCAUCUCAGCCUUGAGCUCCCAAGUGGCUUCGCGAUCAUCGUGAUUGCUCCACCGAACUUUAACGUAGGAAAUCUCGUGGUUUCUCAACUUACGCACCUCUCGAGCUAAAUCAUCACCGGAAACUACUCGUAACUCAUAUCUUCUUGAAGUUCCGGCGGCUCAUACAAUAAGGCAUGAUCGGGGUCGUGAAUAUACUUGCGAAGGUUGGAGAUGUGGAAUACAUUAUGCACAUCCGCAAGCUUCGGCGGCAAUGCAAGCCAGUAAGCCACCGUCCCAAUCCACUCCAAUACUUCGUAGGGUCCAAUGUAUCGGGGACUGAACUUCCCCCGUACCCCGAACCUUUUCACACCCCUCAUGGGCGACACCUUCAAAAAGACUUGGUCGCCCACCGCAAACUCUAAGUCUCGUCGGCACUUGUCCGAAUAACUUUUCUGUCGAGACUGCGCCGUGAGUAAUCUUUUGCGAGCAAGGCGGACCUUCUCCUCCGCUUCCCGCAAAACGUCGGGGCCGAAUUCCGCACUUCGCCCACAUCUCUCCAAUGAAUGGGAGAUCAGCACUUCAGGCCAUAAAGAGCCUCGAAUGGUGCCAUCCCCACACUAGCAUGAUAACUGUUUUUGUAGGUGAACUCGGCCAUCGGUAGGUACUUACACCAACUCCCUUUAUAAUCAAUGACACACGCCCGCAACAUAUCCUCCAGAGUCUGAAUGGUUCUCUCUAUUUGCCCAUCUGUCUGAGGAUGAAAUGCAGUCCUGAAAUCGAGCCGUGUGCCCAAAGCUUCCUGCAGGCUCUUCCAGAAGUGUGAAGUAAACCGGGGGUCUCGAUCUGAUAUUAUAGAUUUCGGUACCCCGUGCAGCCUCACUAUCUCGUCAAGGUACACCUGCGCUAGCUUAUCACCUGCCCAAGUAGUGUGGAUCGGCAGAAAAUGUGCCGACUUCGUCAAACGAUCCACAAUUACCCAAAUCGCGUGGUGGCCACCUGUCGAGCGAGGCAAGCCGACGACGAAAUCCAUCGAUACAUCCUCCCACUUCCAAAUGGGGAUAGGUAAAUUUUGAAGCUUUUCCGCUAGAAAUCGACGCUCCGCCUUCACCUGUUGGCAUACUACGCACUUCGCCACGAAGCGCCCAAUAUUAGCCUUCAUUCCCGGCCACCAAUACUGCAUCUUUAAAUCAUGGUACAUCUUGGUGCCGCCCCGGUGAAGACUAUAAGGAGACCAAUGUGCUUCUUGCAGAACUAGCUUGCUCGUUCUCGGGUACACACUACCGAAGCUCCUCGUUCUCGGGUACACACUACCAGUUUCGAAACCGAAGUGCACCACUGGCGUCUACACUGAAAUCUCCGCCACGUCCCUCCUCGACGUUGCGCCGUACCUUUUGGAGACUCGGGUCCACAGGUUGCAAACUCUUGAUCCUCUCCAAUAAGGUCGGUUGGACAACAAGCAUCGAUAACUUAGUCGGAACCUCCGGAGCUACAACCUCGAGAUCUAUUCAGCCCAUUUCCUUCCACAUGGGCGUUUGAUUCGUAACACAUACUGCGAGGUUCUCCGUUGACUUUCUACUAAGUGUAUCAGCGACUACAUUCGCUUUGCCGGGGUUGUAAAGGAUAUUAACAUCAUAAUCCUUUAGCAAUUCCAACCACCGCCACUGCCGCAUAUUCAGCUCUUUCUGGAUAAACAAGUAUUUCAAGCUUUUAUGGUCGGUGUAGAUCUUGCAAUGUGCACCAUAUAAAUAGUGCCUCCAUAGCUUCAAAGCAAAGAUCACCGCCGCCAACUCUAAGUCGUGGAUGGGGUAGUUCUUUUCAUAGCUCUUCAGCUGACGGGACGCAUAUGCGAUUACCUUCCCGCCCUGCAUCAGGACACACCCCAAACCCAGGUAGGACGCAUCACUAUAGACCACAUAAUCUUCACCUUGCACCGGUAGGGCGAGUAGCAGAGUUGAAGUUAAUCUCUCCUUCAACUCUUUGAAACUUCGGUCACACUCGUCACUCCAAAUGAAUUUGGUGCCCUUCUGCGUCAGACGGGUAAGUGGAAUCACGAUCUUCGAGAAACCCUCCACAAACCGUCGAUAGUAGCCCACUAAGCCCACAAAGCUUCGGACUUCUGCAACAUUCGUUGGGCGCGGCCAAUCCUUGAUUGCCUCAACUUUCCUUGGGUCAACAGAAACACCGCCCUCGGAAAUGAUAUGCCCAAGAAAAGCAACCUCUCGGAGCCAGAAAUCAUAUUUCUUCAACUUUGCGUAUAGCUUCUCCUCCCGAAGGAUUUGAAGCACUAUCCGUAAAUGCUCCGCAUGCUCCUCGUCACUGCGCGACCAAAAUGUCGUCAAUGAAGACUACGACAAAUCAGUCCAAGUGCACCCUGAAGAAAUGGUUCAUUAAGUCUAUGAACGCUGCCAGGGCAUUGGUGAGCCCGAACGGCAUAACCGUGAAUUCAUAAUGCCCGUACCGCGUCUGAAACGGGGUCUUCUGUACAUCCUCCGGCUUUAUCUUCAACUGGUGAUAGCCGGAUUGGAGAUCUAUCUUCGAGUACACGCGCGACCCCUGUAACUGAUCAGACAAGUCGUCGAUUCGGGGUAACGGGUACUUAUUCUUGAUAGUAACCUUGUUCAACUCGCGGUAAUCCAUGCAGAGUCGAAAUGAUCCAUCUUUCUUGCGUACAAACAACACUGGGGCUCCCCACGGCGACACGCUCGGCCUAAUGAACUCUUUGUCGGGAAGAUCCUGUAGCUGAUCUCUCAACUCCCUCAACUCAGUCGGCGCCAUGCGGUACGGAGCCUUCGAGAUCGGCGCGGUUCCGGGAACUAAGUCUAUCACGAAUUCGAUGUCCCCAUCCGGCGGCAUCCCCGGUAACUCCGCGGGAAAUACAUCCGGAAACUCCCGCACCACCGACAACUCCUCGAGAGUCCGAACCACCCGAUCAACCUCCACAACGGUCGCCAAAAAAGCCGCACAACCGCUGUUGACCAACUUCCUUGCCCUCGUCGCCGACACCGUCGCGGUGAAGCACGAGCUCUUGCAAACUCGAUACGUAACCUCCGUCUGUCCCGACUCCCAAAAGGUGAUCACUUUGCUCUUGCAGUCUCGAUCGACACAUAAUACUUCCAGAGCCAGUCCAUGCCCAAUAUAACAUCGAAGUCCUUCAACUUCUUGAGCACUAAUAAUCAGCUCGGCAUUACCCAGUCGCCAAUUUGAACGGGACACGCCAAGAACUCCGUAAAAAUAUGAAGUGCUAGCCCAGGGCCCUCUACUCACCACAUGCCAUCACUCGCCUGAAUCUCUAUGUCAUGCAUUCGUGCAAACGAUCUACUGAUGAAUGAAUGUGUGGCACCUAUAUCAAACAUAGCCCUGGAGCGAACUCCGUUAAUUAAAACCAUACCUGCCACGGCCUCAUGCUCCUCCACUCCAGCAGGUUCCUUGGCUUGAGCGGCGAACACCCGCCUGCUCGGAGUCGAUCGUGCUGCCUCCGGCUGACGCGGCGCCAUCGCACGUCCAGCAGAUGCCGCAGCAGGUGGAGAUCCAUAAUGGGUAGGAAUCGCAGGGGCCGAUGCGAUAGAUGGGGCAGGUGAAGCCCCUCCGGCGGGACAUUCGCGUAUGAGGUGCCCCGCUUGCCCACACUUGAAGCACCUCCCACGACGCUGCUCGCACACCCCAGCGCGAUGGUUUCCGCCACAAAAGAUGUACCGUUGCGGCCCGCGACCCCACGACUGGGUCCGCGGAUGCUUCAGGGGUCUCUUGGAACUAGACUGUCCUCCCGAACCACCGCCCAGUCAUUUCUUUCCUUUUUCUUUAUGAAACGCAUCUCGCUCCUUGCGUUCGCAAGCAUUCCCGUGCUCAACCCAUAAGGCACGGUCCAACACUUCCGCACAGGUGCGGAACUUGAAUGCGUGCACCAAUCGGAACACUCCGGGUCGAAGUCCCCGAACAAAGCACUCUGCCUGGUCUUGCUCAGUCCUCGCUACUUCAGGGACACAAUUUAGGAGAUGAGUGAACUCCCGCUCCCGAACUGUGUGGUUACCCUGCUUAAGCUUCCUGAAGUUUUCCUGCAUCUUCCUCUUAUCACUAUCGGGAAAGUACUCCGCAAACAUCAGUCCAUGGAACUCCUCCCAAUUGAUUAGGGGAAGAUCCGGAGAUCGGUCCUGCUUCACCCUCGUCCACCACACUCUGGCCCGCUUAUCGAAGCAGUGCGCGGCCAACUGCACCUUAUCUUGUUCCCAGGUGUAGAUGUCCUCGAACAGAGUUUCCAUUGCGGCCAACUGUGUCUCUACUGUCCAGGGAUCAAUCACUUCACCGUCGAACGUGGGAGGGUGGAACUUCAUAAACCUCGUGAGAGUCGUGUAACCACGCUCCCGCUCCGCCUCCUCAGUCGCCGCAUCGAGCGAAAUAGAACCCGAAGCCACAGGAGGAACACUNAGGGAUCAAUCACUUCACCGUCGAACGUGGGAGGGUGGAACUUCAUAAACCUCGUGAGAGUCGUGUAACCACGCUCCCGCUCCGCCUCCUCAGUCGCCGCAUCGAGCGAAAUAGAACCCGAAGCCACAGGAGGAACACUCGCCGGCGGGGGAUGCGCCGCCACCGGUACCGCUGCGAUGCCCUCACCCUCAGCCGCAUUUGGGACGCGAGCCGAGGGCGCGGGCGGAUAACAGCCUUCCGUUGCCGUCGCGGCCGCCGCCGCCACUUGCCGCUCCAAUAGCUCCUACAGCCGAUCAAACCGACGAGUCAACGCAGUCACUUGCGCUCGUAACUCCUGCACCUCACUAGGCCCAGCUGACUCUGGCGCCACAGGAGGGCUAGCCUGCUCUGGCAUCUCGCGAGGGGGUGCCGGAACAGACCUACGAACGUAGCGUCUGCUCGUUGCCAUUAGCUCCUGAAACACAAACAUUUGGUUAAUUACUUAACCCGUUAACAUCGCCGCAAUUACGAAAUAACACGACUCAACGUUAAAAUUAGGCGGAAGCACACAAGCGUAUUCAUUCUAGACUCUUGGCGUCGUGUUGUCGGCCGCCAACACAACAACUUCGAGCCAAGAACUAGUACUACUUGAAUCCAUCUCUAGCAACUACUAGAGGCAUAACAUCAACUUUGACCCAAUCAAUCAACUUCCGCCGCCGCUAUAAGUUCACGUUACACUCACGCACCUAUAUCUUUAAGGUUUACCGUCCUAAGGUCUCCUAGGUCGACCCUAGACUCUUUUUUUGCUUGCUCUUAACUCGCUUUGAUACCACUUUAUCUGUCAUGCCCCGAGACCCGCUACCUAUUUGGUCCGGUUUGGGCUCGUCGAACAGACGCCGAACGGACAGGACCUCCCAUGUCCGCCCAAGGAUAAACAACGAGAUCAUGUACAACAAGUUCCCAGGAAAUCACUUGAAUACAUACAUGAUCAUACAACAACAGCGAGAGCACAACCAGUGCUAAACAACCAAGAGUAAGCAUCACAAGUAGAGUAUAUACAAGUGAACAAAAGAGAGAUACUUAUAUAUUACAACAUUCAACCUUUAUACAUUUGAUUACAUUUAAACUUCCAAAACAUAAACAUAGAGUUUACAAUCUUCCAAAAUCUCUCACCACCUAUACAUCAUCUACUCUCAAGCAUACAUAUAUAGUAUGUGGCUCUUAUGUAAAAAGGAAGGUAACUACUACAAUCUCUAGGGCGCUAAGCCCUUACCGCGAUCCUCGCCGGGUGUACUCGAGCUCGGCCCUACAACAAAGUCGGGUGAGAACUAUUGUCCAUAGUUUCCAGUAGGUUCGGCCACCGACUCCGCCGAUCUCCCUACUAGGUCUAAGUAGGCAUAGGCAGAUAGAUAGAUAGAUAGGUAAAUUUGAAAGCGACGAUAAUAAAGAAAAUGCAAGUAUUCUACCAUGCCUCAAUCCAUAAUCAUGCAUGCAACGUAAGUAAAGGCUAACUCCCAAGCUAUCAUGCUCAAUAAUGAUGUAAUUCAUUAGAUUACCCAAUCAAUCAGCUAACCCGAAGGUUCGCUACCAUCUCACAUCUCAAAGUCUCUUAGGGGAGGAGAUUUUAAUCGCUCGGCUACCCCCGAGACUGCCUGCGGACAGCUAGCUACUGUCCGGGCAGCUCACGACUGCCCCUAUAGUGACCAAAACUCCGGAGUGCACAGCUUGUGUGGAGCGACCACUACAAGCGCAGACAGGCUAUGUGAGUUCGAUCCAAUCCACCUGAACUGAGGAUACCCUACCAACUAGGGAUAGCAUCAUCAUGAAAAUCAGUGUGUUCCUGUACUCAAUCUCAUAGUGAUUCACUACACUAAGGUUCUCAUGCCACUCAUUCUAGUGUUCAACAUUAACUAGAUGCCACUCGUUCUUGUUACAUGUUUCCAAUACACUAGUUUAUACUUUACUAGGUUUUCAUCCACAUAAGACACAUUCCACCAUUUAUCUUUUCAUUAUAGGGUUCCAAGUCAUCAUGUCACGCUAUCAUGCAUACUAGGCCCAAGUGUCAAGCAAGCGACUCUACAUUACCACUAGCAUGCAUACUAAAUGCCGCUAUCAUGCAUACUAAAUACCCUAUAAUGCAAUAUGGCAAGAUGCUUAUGAGAUCAACAAUGAGACUCAGACAUAGGGAGCAGUUCAACUGCUUCGGGAUGGCACCACCCACCUUUUGGCGAUGCUACGUAGUAGGAAACCCAAUCUCACGAUCACUCAUCGCCGCUUCGACCUUUCGAGCGGAAACGAAGCCGAAAUGCUCUCCGCCUGGCGAUACCUCCACACUGACUCGACGAAUAGUCAAAUCAUUGCCGCCAACGCGUUUAGAUACCUAGCAAUUAGGUUUGCAACCAACUAAUUUAGAACAAAACCCUAGAUUUCCCAAAACCUCAUUUUGAAGCCCUAGGUUUCAACAACGCGAAAAUCUACGAUUCUAGCUUGAGAUUCAAGCAUGAAGCAUCUACUAGGGACACUAGAGUUCCAACAAAACCAUUCCUAGAGUAUUUAAACUCUAUCAUAGAAAUCCACCAUUAAUGCUCUAGGAGCUUACCUCUCAAGCUUGCUCCAAACUAGAGGAAGAAGACGAAGAAGAUGGUGCUUUCCUCCUUGACCUUCACCUCCUUCUCCUUCCUUGAGAGAGAGAGAGCGCUCUAGAGAGAGAGAGGGAAGUGUUUAGGGUUUAGCUUUGGGAAAGAAAUGAGAAAAGAAAGAGAGCAAGAGCUCUCAUAUAACCCCACUUAUGUAACAUUGCAUUUUAGCCCCUCAACUUUCCAACUAUGAGACAGCCCAUUUUUGGGCAUUUCGGGCUACGGGGACCAGUCUCUCCAAGAGGGACCGGUCUCCGAGAGUGGCUUAUUUACAGAAAAGGGCCCUUACCCCCUUUUCCACGCUUACGGGGACCGGUCUCUCCAACGAGGGACCGGUCCCCGAGAGCACACUCUCGCAGGACAGCCUCUUACUCAAUUUACAAACCUACGGGGGCCGGUCUCUCCCGCCAAGGACCGGUCCCCAAGAGCAAAUUUUGUGCGCAGAGCCCUCUGCCACAUUUUUCAAGCUACGGGGACCAUCUCUCUUACUAGGGACCGGUCCCCGAGAGCAAAUUCUGCAACUAUGCAGAAUCUCACCAGUUUGCUCUCCGAGACCUUCUACAAUGCACUUUUUGCAUUUUCAUCGCAUUCGGACUUUCCGAAGCAUACCAACUCGACAACCAGUCGAUUCUAAACGAAGUCUAACUCUCGAAUUUCGAGAAUUCACUUCCUUACAUAGGGGGAUCAAGCGGUUUGGUUUGCGGAACAAGCUUAGUCCAUGGUUCGUGGGACCGUUUGAGAUCCUUGUGCGCGUUGGUCCGGUGGCGUAUAGAUUGGCUCUUCCUCCGAGUCUUGCCCGGGUGCACAACGUUUUUCAUGUGUCCAUGCUUCGGAAGUACAUUUCGGAUCCAUCCCACGUCAUUAGCCGACGUCUAUAUAGCUACGGGAGGAUCUGAGCUAUGAUGAGGCUCCGUUGCGGAUAUUGGCACGUGAGGUGAAGCAGUUGCGGAACUGGAGCAUUCUGUAUGUUAAGGUUCAGUGGGAAAAGCACGUGGAGCGCGAGGCUACGUGGGAGCUUGAGUCUUCUAUGCGGGAGUGAUAUCCGUAGUUGGUUGCGGGGGAUGCUUGAUUUAAGUUUUUGGAACGAAACUUUCUUUAAGGGGGAGAUAAUGUGAGGACUGAGAUUUGUGCUGUGCAGAUAAACCCUUGGUUGACGAUGUUUUUGUGUGCAAUUUAAUUAUAUAAGCACUCGUCAAGUUUCAAAAGAAAAUGAGUUUGGAUUGAGAAGUUACACGACCUGUACUAAUCACUUAAAGUGAAUAGUAACUCCGGUUUUUCGGAGAGGCUAAUUAGUAGAGAUGGCUUUUGGUGUGUAUUGGAUUCCGUUCUUAGUGAUCCAAUAGCUCAUUCUUGACGGUUCGACUAUACUGGACCCAAUAGAACUGACGAAAUUGGGUUUUGAGGCACGAUUUUCAAGAGAAAGGGGGUUUAUUGGAUUUACUUAUAUAUGUAUGCGUGGUUUUCUGGAAAUUGGAGAGUGGAUGAGUUUCGUCGCAAAUCGGCGACCAAAGCUGAUGAAACAAAGUGGUAGAUUUGAAGCCCCAGUCGUGCUGAACGCGCUGACGCGAUUCGAUAAAAAAUCCAACGGACGGAUCUUCGAGAAUCGCGAGAUGUUCGCUGAGGGAUCAAAGUUGGCAAAACGAAAAAUCUGUGAAAAGCCCAAUAUUUUAUGUACCGUUUUGUGUGAUUUCGAACAUCAGGGUGCUUGUGUGCAAAAUACACGCGCUGGCAAGGACUGGGCUGAAAAUUUUCAGCUUUGGAGGGCCUUUCUAUAAAUAUACAUCUUAUGUGUAUAUAUAUAUAUAUAUAUACAUAUAUAUAUACAUAUAUAUAUAUACAUAUAUAUAUACAUAUAUAUAUAUACAUAUAUAUAUACAUAUAUAUAUAUACAUAUAUAUAUACAUAUAUAUAUANACAUAGUAUAUGUUAGUGGAUUGCAUAACUGUGUCGUAUUUGUAUUCAUUACAUUAUUAAAGCAUACUAGCAUGAUAAAUGAUAUUGCAUGCAUUCCUUGCAUUUGAUGGCAUAGUAGAUAUAGUAGCAGUUUAUUUCCAUAUAUCUCUCUAUCUAUCUAUCUGUGCCAACUUGGACCUAGUGGGAAGAUCGGCGGAGUCGGCGGCCGAACCCACUGGGAACUAUAUUUAUAUAGUUCUCACCCCGUGUGUUUUUGGGGUACAGGUACACACGUGAGCGGACCGGCAGGUGAUCGCGGUAAGGGCAUAGCGCCCUAGCUAGCUAGUAGAGCUUUCCUAUUGUACUAGAGCACCCUCGUGUGCAUGGUUAUAAAUGACAUGAUGUAUUUUGGAUAGCUAGCAUUAUAUCCAUGUGAGAUGAUUAUGUAUUCAUUUUGGAAGCUUAAAUGUAAUCAAGUUGUAUUAAAGGUUGAAUGGAUGUAAAUGUUGAAUGUCAAAUGUGAUGUAAUAGAUAGUUAUAUCUCUCUUUUAUUCACUUGUUUAUACUUGUGAUGCUUGCUCUUGUAAUGUUCGGCACUGGUUGUGCCCUCGCUAUUGUUUUGAUCAUGUAUGUAUUCAAGUUGAUUUCCUGGAAACUUGUUGUACAUGAUCCUGUUGUUUAGCCUUGGGCGGACAGGGGAGGUGCUGUCCGUCCGGCGUCUGUUCGACGCGCCCGGAUCGGACCAAAUUGGUAGCGGUCUCGGGGCGUGACAUAUUGUGUCUAAUUAAUCCCUAAUACCUAAUUCUGUUUUGCUUCCCAUUCGUAACAGCACCUUAACCCAGCCCAUCUAUCUUUCCCCUGCACGACUCCCUCUCUCCAGCUUGCGUCCGUACGCCCUCCCCCGCUUGCGUGCGCACGUCGUCGUUCCGAUCACCGUCAUCACCGCCGUCAUCCGAGGCCGCCUUCGCCGCAAUCCUCAUCUAUCGGCAUUUUCGAUUCAUCGUCGACGACAUUUUGUUGUCAACAUUUCUAUAUUUAAGAAGGUUUAUUCUUUUCAUUUUCGUCUCUACACCUAAUAACUUUAUCCAUAUUUAUGUGAUUGUUGUUAGGUGUUCUUCUUUAAUGAUAUUUCUAAGAUCAUUCAAAUCUGAUUUCGAAUAAUCUAAAUUAAUAUUGGUUGAAUUGUUAAUCUUGUAUCUUGUAUUCUCUAUAUGAUUUGGCUAUAUAAACUUUGCAAAUUCUACAUACUUUUGAAAUGCCCGUUACAUGGUCGACAAAAUGCCUAAGAAAGGGCGAACUUCGUUUUUGUUUCUGAUUUCGAUUCCAUCUAAUUGUAAAUUGUCAAUUAAUGUCUCAACAUUUGAAAACCAUUUUUUCUCGAUCAUAGAUCCUUCAUUUAUUAUUUAAAAUUCCGUUCAUGUUAUCGUGUUUAUUUGAAUCGUUUAAUCUUUGAAGCUCUGCAUUCUUGAUUGUUAAUUGAGUUUCAUCGAGUUCAUUAUUUUAAAUCUCUUUCGUGCUCCGUCCUGACCUAUUUGCAUGCAUUUGUAACAGACCUUGUCAACCUAUAUAAAAAGCCUUUCCGAAUUUAAAUUUUUGUAUAAACUUGUCUUCUAUCUAUCUAUCUAUCUAUCUAUCUAUGUAUAUAUAUAUAUAUGUAUAUAUAUAUAUAUAUGUAUGUAUGUAUGUAUGUAUGUAUGUAUGUAUGUAUGUAAUAUAUAUAUAUGUAUAUAUAUAUAUAUAUAUGUAUGUAUGUAUAUGUAUAUAUAUAUAUAUAUAUAUAUAUAUGUAUGUAUGUAUAUGUAUAUAACAUGAAACCCUAACCGUCACCAGCACCUUUCUGCCCUAGCCGUGUGCGCACCCCAGCCACCGGCGAGUGACUCCGACAGCCGGAAAAGCCGACGUUGCCUCUCCUCCAUCAUCUCCUCCACCUUGCACCUCCAACUCUCUGCCUUGGACCUCUCAGGAUCAUCCACAGCCUCGGGACCCCCCUUCCUUAGCCGAGAGCUGACCUUCGGCACCGUCCAUGCCGGCCCCUGCCACCCGCGUCCGCCGCCGGUGCCGCUUGAGCCUUCUUCGGCCAUCCUAUGCUAAUUGGGCAGAGCCUAGCUCAGCUCGUGGCCCGCGGGCCACUGCUGCCCUAGACUGACUGCGCCGCCCUUCCAUAGCCUCCGGCGACCUCACGCUCGCCGCCCGUCGCCCUGGAGCGCUGCCGGCUGUUGCCCUAGCUCCCUACGGCCGCCCAGACUCAGCCCGAGCCGAGCCUGGGCCAGCACUGUCUCUGCGUGCUGCCGCCGCCCACUGUCGGGCGCGCUGCCCUCCCUCGGCCUCCGACGACGUGCCGCCGUCGCCCCUGGGCUCCCCCGACCGUCGCCCGGCCGCCAUUGCUCCUCGAACCCAAGCCUAGCCGCACGGGUUCGUGCCGCUCCAACGAGCCACCGGCCGCCUCCCACAGCCGGCCAACAUAUGCCCGUGCCCCCUCCGACUGGCCGCAACCCUCGCCGGCCGGCCCGCCCGCCGUCCGGCCGCCGCCGACCAAUGUGUGCUCCCGUGUGCUCCGAUAAGCUUUAACUAGUAUUCCGCGUACUGUUUUCGGGUUCUGGACGCUUUUUCGACGAUCCGGGGAUACCCCGACACACCCGAAAGUGAGCACGAUGAUCCCUGAUCCGUGCUGAACAUUGUGCUCACCUCCGUUGGGGUCAGUGAAGCCCCGGUUUGCAUGUUAAGCGCGAGUUAGGCAUUGUGCGUGCUAUUUUGCCGAACUUCGCAUCGCUACCACGCUGGCCACAGUGGUCGGCCGUGCUCCGAAGUGUGAGCACGACCUCCGGCACAUCGAGACCUAUCAUAGGGUGUAUCGGCCAGACUAUAUAGUUCUCGGUUUCCGUUGUCGAGCCGUAAAUCCCCGAAAAUCACAUAAAAUAAAGUGAUUUCAUGUUGUCGCAGGGACUUUUGUGCAAUUGUAUGUUUCAUGGUUGAUGUUGGCAGCGUGUGCGGGCAGCAAGUGACCUCUAGACAGGUUGUCCAAGGCCCAGGCCUUUUCGAAAAUUGGAUGUUGAUUUCCGGUGUGUUUUUCGGCGAAAUCCGCCGACGGAAUGUGAUUUCAAUUGGAAUUCUUUCGACAGUGCCUCACGGUAUAUUGCGUAGUCGCCGAGCCUUGUUGGCUGGUCACUCACAUCGUUUUGAGUGUUCGGAAAUGACAGGUGAGCGACGAUGGGUUCCGGUUUCGAAUUUGACAUUUCUGGAAACCCGUAUCGGAACGAUUAUCCGACGAUAAGCAUUUCGAUGUGAGGUGGUGUGUUUGCUACCAAGUUGCACGAAUAAUUGCCUUUAGUGGCAGCGGGUGACUCUUUGCACGAGUUGGUGUGUUCCGGGACUGUUUGUGGGUCCCGGCGGAGUCUCGAUUCGAUUUUUGGGACUUCCGACGUGUUACGACAGUCGGUUUGGGAAACCGAUUCCCAUAGGUUUUCAUGUGGGGGAUUGUGAUGUUGUGACUUGUAUUCGUGGGUUGGAUUCUAGCCCGGUGGACCCUUCGUAGGUCCGGUUGAUACUUCUUCCACAGUCGGGAGACUAAUGCUGUAUACGUAUAGGUGGGUACUUCGACCCGAUGUCGGUACAGUGGUGUAUGCUCGGUGACAUUCCCUUCACCCUUUCCUUGUUGUUUAUCUUGCAUGUUAUAUGUUGAGCCUAGCACCGAUACCAUAUUUCUUUAUUACUUUACUUAGUUAGUUGCAUACCCAGUAUCAUGUUUUAGAUGUAGACCGGUUUUGUGAUUAUUUGUGAGACUUAUGACCUAGUCGGUCAGUGCUUUGCAUCUGUUAUUGUGAUUUACUUGGUUGGACUACUUGGUGACCUACACGGUCAGUAUACCCUGAGGGGUUGGAUUGUCGGCUAGUUGCCGAUAUUUGGCUAUGACCUAGUCGGUCGGUUCUUGUAUCUUGUAUUGUGACCUAUUCAGUCGAUACACCGUAUCCGUUAUCGUGAUCUACUUGUCGGUUGGACUACUUGGUGACCUACGCGGUCAGUAUACCCUUAGGGGUUGGAUUGUCGGCUAGUUGCCGAUGUUUGGCUAUUGAGUAUAUCAGCAUCGAUCGCCACUGCUCAUACGUAUUUCACGAACACCAGCGAUCUGAUUCACCGCAAGAGAGUGUUCUUUUUCGAAAAAGUGGGUGGGAGUGCCAGCCCGUGAGCCCAAAAAGUGUUAUAUGCUUUCAGACCCAAGAGCUUAUGCUGGGGUCAUUUACAGAUUAAGAGCAGUUGUGGCAUAGGCCUGAGGUGUGCAGACCAAUAUGGCAUGUUUCUGAUUGGGUUACCUUUGGACUUGUCGUCCGGUUGAUGCAUGCAUACAGUAGCGGUAGUGAUUCAUAUAUAUACAUCUCGUUUUCCUUAUUAUCAUUGCUACUAUAUUACUAUUAUCUAUACUUGUUGUUAUCCUCCGUGACUGGUGAGUACCCCUCGCCCUAGUCGGCUUGCAAUACCCACUGGGAGGGGAGACAUAUGUACAUGUUCUCACCCCCAACCCCCAUUACGGGUGACGUUGCGGGUCCUAGUGGGACGGUUCGUGAGGAGCGCACUUAGCGAUUCAAUAGAGCUUUCGGACCCGUCUCUUCGGUUUAAUUCUUAAACUCGAUUUCUUCUAAAUAAAUGACUUAGACAGUAAUUAUGGUUCAGUGAUUUAUUAUAUUUGGAUUCAUUUGGUUUUAUGAAUGUAAUAAAGGAUUUAUGAUUCUUGCAAAAAUGAAAAUGGUUUUCUACCCCUCGUGGUAGCGAGUUUUAAAAGGAAAAGGUUUAUGUGUGUGAAACAGUUUUUAAAGUUUUUUGGUUUUUCCUGGAUGUUAGUAUUUCAAAACGAGUUUUCGGGUAGGAAACAUUUUAAACUGAUAGAUGUGAAUGUGAAUGUGAAUGUGAAUGUUGUAUGAUUAUGUGGAUGUUCACAUGUGGUGGUUGUAUCUUGUAUUGUGUAUUUUUUAUUAUACGACGCCAUGCAAAUACAGGGAAGACUCUGUCCGUGUGAACAGUGGACUCCCUAUAUUUGUGGCGGAUCUAGCAUACCCUGGGGGGUUAGGUUUUUCAAAAAAAAAAAAUUUAGGCACUUCCGUAUUGGAUUUUAAAUCCAAAGGGAUCCCUGGGCAUGACACUUGCUCUGUAUAUCAAAUCAAAGUUGGUACUAACUAGCAAGACGAGAACUCUCACUGAUUGGUAUGGGUGUUCCUUUCAUGUUUAGGGAUGUACAUCACCUCCUAUAUAGCUGUCACAUGGCAUAUUCCUUAUUAUUUUAGGAAAAUAUUUCUUAUACACCCAAAGAGGGUACUGUAGAUCUCUCACAGCUGUGAUAUAGGUGUUCCUUACUUGGUUUAAGCCAUACAUUACGACAUCUAUAGGUGUUACCUUGCAUUUUUCUUGUAUGCAAACGUGCAGGAGGGAACCUCUCACUAACGCAUAGAGGUGUGACUAGAUUAAUUGUAAGGCUUUUGGGGUGACCCCAAAAGCAAGUGUAAUGUGCUUAAAUCAAGUUGAAUGUGCUUAAACCAAGUUUGUGAUCUAGGGAAUUAUAUACAAACAUAAAAUAUCUCUUGUUGAUAAUCAUUGUUCCAAAAAGCAGCUAAUACAGCCGCAUAUGUAAUAUGCGAUGCAAUAUGCAACCAGACCACUAGAAAUUCAACCUUGAUGCCAUUUAUAAAAAACAUUCUUAAAUAGAUAUUUGCUUCUAGAGGGAUCAAACAAAAAUCUCUGAGAUUGUACACAUGUAUUAAUAGUUCUUAGUAUUUUAUUUUUAGCUUGUUAUCUGAUUCCAUAAUUACCACCCAACCUCUUGGCUAAAGGUGAGAUGGUCUAUUACCAAGGGUUGCUUAGGCUACAUGAUAACAUUGCUUCGAGUUUGUUAGAACCUUUAAUUGUUUUAUAUCGCAUCCCAUGUACUUGAAAAGGCAUGGAUAAUGAUUGAUGAUUCAGUCUAUUGUUUUUGGCCUUUCCGUUCACUGUUGUAGAAUUGCUAGUGACUUAGCACAAAGUGCCUGUAUUAUCUAUUUUAUCUCAUAUUGUAGAAAAUUGUUGUAUAGAAGAUGCUGUAUUUUGAUGGCGUCGGUGGACUCCACCUUGUGCUUAGGGGUUGAUCCCCUAAAGUGCAGAAAGUGAGCAAAUUACGGCCCUUUGGUAACUAUUUGCUUUUUUCCAUGUUACUAAGUGGGUGACUUGUCUAUUGUCCUUGCUCCCCAGUCCUGUUUAGUUGGUAAAUUUGGAAUUCUUGUUAUGUGGUGCAUAAUGGAUUUUAUCUGGCCCAUGUGGACCAUCUUGUGUCUGAGGGGGGAUGCUUUUUAUACCUGCUAAUCUAUGAAGGCUUCUUCAAUAGAUGCCUCUAAUAAGUUCUUGUUUUUCUCAAAAGAUCUAUCUGAAAUCAUCGAGUUUUUGAAUGCAAUAUGCAGCUAGAACAUCAAAUUUCAUGCAUUCUCAGAUGAUUUAACGAAAUCACAUCAAGAUUGAAUUUCUAGUGGUCUGGCUGCAUAUUGCAUUCUGCUAUACAAUGACAAACUUUUUUCAAGUUUGUUGAAGCAAACUUGAUCUAAACUUCUUUGCCUGUUAUGCUUUUUUAUGUCCUACGGGAUAGAACAUUGAUGAUAGUUGUACAGGCCUACGAGAUUACAGAAAGAGACCUUCAAAUUGGAUUACGACUUGCACAUCCUGAUGUCCUUGUAUUUAUUUUAUUUUUUUAUUUUUUAGCAUUCACUACUGAAUCGUCAGUAGUAUUUUAUUAAAGAACUAGGCACAAAAUGACUUAACUCUUUGCUUUACUCUCGGGGAAUUGUGUAGUGCGUGUGAUUCGCGGAAUAGCAAAUUUGCUGAAAUUCAUCAUGCAUAAAAUUUGCUUCAAUCUGAGUAUUGAUAGCUAUAAUAACUUCAAUUUCAUAGCAAUACACAAACAAAGCAAAAAAAUAAUAACUUUUACUUGAACCAUAGUUCAUGAAAGUUUACUUUAAUCUGAGCGUCACCUUCGGUGAAACAAACAAGCAAUACUAUGAUUUAAAAAAUUAUACUUACGUAUUUUAUAAUAAUUUAUUUUAUGUUACAGUAAGGACCUAUUAUUAACCAAGAUGGUAAACUAAUAUUAUUAUUUGUUUACAAAUCAUCUAAUGACGCAAUAUAACACUUUAUCGGUCCAUAAUAUGUACUUUACCAUAAUAUGAUUUUUCAAACAUAUCAUUUUAUACACUGUUUAAUAGUAGAUUCAUAGGUGAUAAAAGUGAAAUCACGUCACGAGGAAAUUAAAGUUAACUUUUUAAACUACUUGUGCUUUUUUUCUUUUUGAGGAAAAGGUUGUAUGCUAUCCGCAUCAUUCAUUGAAAAGGUGAACUAAGCUGCAUGGAUGAGGUAUCACAGGCCUCGAAGAGGACAGAAAAAAAAAACUAGCAAUUGCAGUGGUGCUUGUCAAUUGAGAGAAGUUGCUCCCAAUGGUUUGUCAUCGAAUUUUGAAACUUGUGAUUUUUAUUUGAAAUUGAUGUGCACUUCUGAAAUAAUUAUUUUACUCCGAAGAGUGCUAUUUUUGAAAUUUCGAUGAAUUCCAAACUUUUAACUAUAAUUAGGACUCGAAAUCAUUAACAUGUGAUGUUAGCAAAAAUAGGAAUUUUAAUAAUAAAUAAAGAAAUACUUAACCACGUGCAACUUCAUAUUUUUAUUGGAGGACCCGAAGAACCUCAAGUGGUUUGUGCAGGCAGAGCUGGUGAACAGACGGUAGACGAUGCUCGACGUGGUUGGGAUGCUAAUCCCUGAGGUGUUAACCAAGAUCGGGCUCACCAAUGUGCUGUUGUGGUACGAUGUAGGAAAGGCCGAGUACUUCGCCUCAUCCUCCACCCUCUUCGUCAUCGAAUUCAUCUUCUUCAAAAAGAUACUUUCCAAGAAAGAACAACUAUUAAUUAACCAUGAGCUCGUCCACCACCUUCAUUGCCAGAGCUCAUGACCGUGGCCGCCAUGGUCGAUACCUUCACUGGUGACUACUCCCUCACCGUCCUCGACAAGGUCUGGUGAAUCUAGGAGAGAAACAAAUGAGAGAAGGGGAAGACGCAUCAUGCCCCAACCAAGGAGCAGUAGGUUCGCUGAAGGCAAGUGGUGGAAUAGGAAGUGGAAGAGCUCAGGAUUGCUGCGGUACAAGCUACAAGGAAGCAAUGAUCUGUAGACAGAAAAAAGGAUACCCACCUCGGAGGAGACCUCUCUCUGCUGAAUGGAGCACAGGCAGUCCUAAGAAGACUUGCAACUAUGAACGGGACUUAUCAGCAACAACAACCGUCCUUCCCACCCUCGCCCUUGAUUUGAUGCUGGAGAAAAGAUUUCUAAGACUAAAAGAAAAGCUACAUGAGUUUGCAAAAGUUGAUUCACACACCUAUAUCCUGGAAUCUGAGGAUGGCGCACCAUCAGAAGAAAACAAAAGGAAGAGGACAAACCGGAGGGUCUCAUGGCAAAUCACAAGGAAGGGAGACUAACCUCGUGUUUCCUUUCGUCGGUGAAUCCUCAGCUGCGACAACUAAUUCAUACAGUCCUUUCCCCUGGGAGAAAGCUUUACGGGUACCCAGUAUAACUUGUGGAAGAAGAAGGAGAUCACAUCAGCAAAUGUACCUAACCCAGAGGCUUCUUAUAAAGAGGCCUUUCUCCAACAUGUUCAGCAACCUGAGUCUGUGAAACCUUUGAAACUUGCCCAUCAUACAUCCCAUUUUCACAUACCUAACCUCGUGGGAAGAUGCUUCAGGUGCCUGGCAAAGGACCACAAAAUCAGAGAGUGUAGAGAACCUCUGAGGUGCACCUUGUGCUUCAGGUUCGGUCACCCUGCCCGUUACUGUCGAAAAUGUGGAGCUGUUGGCAGGGAGAAGAUGCAACAUGCUUUGCAUUUUCGUCCUCCUUCGAUAAAGGUGUUCAUCCCGCUGACGGAGGGGUUCCAUUCCCGUCAGAAUCUGUGUCGGAACACCGUGCUAGCUAACAUCAUUGGACCAGCAAACUUGGGUCACUACUACCAGGAAACGAUCGCAAACGACUUCGCAAUCAAAUUGGCGGUCUUUCUGACAACUUGCAUGUAGCACGGCACCAUGAGAGGGAUUUCGUGAUUUUUUUGCCACAAUGGGUUCACCCGGAGGAACUUCUUAGAAGGGAGGUCAUCAAAUUUUGACAUUGCCAACUCAGAUGCUACGAAUGGAACCCUUACAUCAACACGAGCCGAUCCCAGCUCACUUACAAAGCCUGGGUGAAACUCGUCAACCUACCUUUCGAGUGCUGGUUCGAAGCCAGGGUGGCUACAAUUGUCAAUGGAUUCGGUAGAUAACUCCGAGGUGAUGACGACAGCUUGAAUAUGAUGGACCUCAUUGCAUUUCGCUGCCAAGUUGCCGUCGACGAUCUCACCGACAUCCCCGAAAGUUUGGCAAUAACCUUGGGGGACGUUACCGUACAAGCGGCUGUCCAAAUAGAGAGAAUGGCUCCCUUCGACAACGACGACCGUGGUACCCCCUUCAUAGGGGAAGAUCAGAACAAAGGUGGCAAUCAAACGUAUCCCCUGGGCCAGCGACUGGCAAGGUGAGUCAACCUACAAGGUGGAGAUGAACGGAAUAAUAACUCUACAGAAGGCGAAGAUACCGGAAAUAGUGAUACUUGGAACUCAUCAGAACUCAGAGAUAGAUGGCGUUCACCUUCAAUCCAGGAACGACUGCCACGAUUCCGAUGACGAUGUGAUGCAAACGACGCCAAUGACGGACGGGAAGGCCCUUCCUUACCCAACGGUCAAAGAUCUCGUACCCUACGACCCGACACAUCUUUGUACAUGGAAUGCAAAGCUCUUUACCCAGCGAGCAACAUGGCCUCUCGAAAGAUGCACGAUCGACCAACAUGGAACCUUUUUAAAUGAGCGAUACGGGAUGGAGAAUUCGAUGAGAUACUACAAAGAAAAAGUAAAGUAUGUAUUGGUGGAGAAAGGAAAGGCAGAGGAGACGAUGGGGUCAGGUGAUGGGGAAUGGGGUGAUCUCGUCGUUAGCCAAGAGGAGAAAGGUGUUGGCUACCCUUAAGUGGUGGGACUCCCCUCGCGAAGCGUGCCUCGCUGGUUUGAAGAAGGGGCUUUCUCGGGUCCUCCUAGGGUUCCGAGAGUGGCUCUUAUAAAUGUGAACAGUGUUUGGACUUGCAAUAGCUGGGGCUCGACUAGGAACUGGACAGCCCCCCCCAAAAGGAGUGGACCCAAGGCUUGACUUUGCUCGAUCCAUCUUUGGGCAAUGGCGGGCCUUUGGAAUCUACGACCCUUCUGUGGGCCUACUCGGUUUUCAUGACUUCCUCGGGCUUUCUUAAAGUCUUUUUAAAUGGGGCCUGUUGUUUUGGGAUGCAAAUUCCAUAUUGUUCUCCACCCAGACCUCUGUUCCGUAUGAUUAAAGGGGGACAGCCCAUCCCACCAUCUGAAGAAGCGACACAUCCUAAUUAUGUGGGUUUAAUUGUUGGCGGCCUUGCUCUUGAGGAUCUGUGUGGAACGAUCCAUUGGUGGGAGUUAACCGGGAUCACUUUGUGGGGGGGGAUUUAGACGGGAUACUAAUCGAUGAUGGUGACUGUAUGAUGGGUUAUGCAGGCCACAGCAAGGUCCAUACUGAUGGAAAAGAAACUGAUUCGAACCUAGGAAGUGCAAUCUUGACGAUUCCUAUUAGUGCCAUAAGAAAGAGUGCUCGUCAUUCUACCCGAGAAAAUAUAUAUUCUUUGGACAGGGCAAUAUCACGCAAAGCAUUCCUGAAGGAGGGUGAAAUAUCAAAAGUAGCAAAUCCAUUGCGCAAGAACCAGAAGGGGCAGACGAAAAAAGCCACACUCGUCGAUCCAGGCGUAGCGAAGCUCAGUAGGAUAAAGAACAAAAGCACCAAGUAUGGGAUCUUCCUUACUAAUGAGGAGGUCGGUAGCUUUAAGGAGUUCCUGUGCGUCACUCCUUAGACCAUCUUUGUUGAGUGGGUUGUUAUGGUGGAGUUGGUGGUCUUUUAGGCUGUCAUGAUUCAGUUAUGUAGUUGGAACAUUAGGGGUCUGAACGACCGAAAUAAAAGAUGUCUCGUGAAAUCGGUAGUGUCUAAGUUUAAGAAGUCUGUGUUGUGUUUUCAAGAAUCAAAAGUGGAGGAUGUUUCACGUUCUUUUCUUUCCUCUUUUGCUGGAUCUUAUUUCGAUAAAUGUCAGUUUAUUAAAUCGAACGAAGCUUCUGGGGGAAUUGUUAUUUGUUGGAGUUCAAAAGUUUUUCAUGUUGUGAGGUAAUCGUGCGCGAUUACUCUCUUACUACGUGGUUGAAGCACUUGGACAGGCGAACAUUUAUUCUCAUAAUGAACAUAUACGGCCCUCCUUCAUGGGAAGGAAAAGAGGAUUUUUGCAAUGAACUAGCUGUGCUAAAGGGAGUGUGUGGAAGGAUAUGGGCAAUUUGUGGGGACUUCAAUCUAACCAGAAAUCAGCUUGAGCGCAAGCGUCGAGCAUGGAGUAGACGUCUCUUGACCAUGUUCAACGAUCUGAUAAACACAUUGGAGUUGAUCGAUUUACCUAUGGCCAAUCAAACUUACACGUGAUCUAAUAUGCAAAGUAACCCCACCCUUGCGAAGCUUGAUCGUUUUCUUAUUUCCAUAGAAUAGGAUCAAGUCUUUCCUUUGACUCGAGUAGUGGCAGUACCGAGAGUUACAUCUGACUACAAUCCUAUUCUUCUAUCCAUCGGUGAUAAAGUGAGUAGACACUUAUUCCGAUUUGAGGAGACUUGGCUUAUGAGAGAAGAUUUCUGCAAUCUCGUGUCGAUCUGGUGGAAGGAGGUGCCGAAUAAAGCGUCCAAUAUUCUUACCUUUGUUGCUAAACUAAGAUAUUGUCGCAAGAGAAUUAAAGAAGGGUGCACAUCGAGCUAUCAUUGUAUUUCUAGAUCUUUGAAAAUAUUAGCAGAAGAGAUUCACAAACUGGAUCUUCUUGAAGAAAGGUUUUCGGUCACUCAUGAACAGCAAUAGCAACAAAAACUGCUUAAGUCACAACUACGGGAUGGACUCGUCGAGGAAGAGAUUUUGUGGAAAACAAGAGCCAAACAACAAUGGCUGAAAGAAGGCGAUGGCAAUACCAAGUUCUUUCAUGCAAGAGCAAAUGGCAGGCGACGUGCAAAUUUCAUCCAUACGGUUGAAGACGACGGUAGGACCAUUUACAGAGAAGAAGAAAAAAAGGAUUAUUUUUACUCUAAAUUUAAAGAAGUUUUUGCUCCGGACAUGACACAUAAUCUAGCAACAGGGAUUGCAGUAGCUUAUUCACAACCAUACCCUUCCCUAACCCGAACCAUCUGACUACGCCUUUCUCAUUAGAAGAUAUCAAGAAGGCUACUUUCCAGCUCGGCGGUGACAAAACCCUGGGGCGGGACGGGUUCAAUAUAAGAUUUUUUCAAAAAUUUUGGGAGGUGGUCAAAGAUGAUUUGCUCAAUAUCUCCACCGACAUGUUUCUAUGUAAUCUUCACUCUGGACCUAUGGAUUAUUCCUACAUCUGUCUUAUCUCUAAGAAGAAGGAAGCUACAACGGCAAGCGAUUUUCGACCUAUCAGCCUCAUCAACAGUGUACAAAAAAUCAUAUCUAUGGUACUUGCCAACAUAUUAGCAGGGGUUAUGAAAGACAUUAUUUCCCCAUCGCAGUCUGCCUUUAUCAAAGGCCGGUUCAUUCUGGACUCAUUAAUUGCUACUGCCAAUGAAAUUACCAGCUGGUGUUCGAAAACAGGUGUGGAAAGUGUAGGAGUUAAAGCUGACUUCGAAAAGGCGUACGAUAGAGUAAGAUGGAAUUUUCUGAAAAAGAUUUUGACUUGGCUUGGGGCGAACUGUAAGUGGUGUUAUUGGAUUGAACAAUGUAUAUCCAAUGCUAAGGUGGCGGUGUUGGUAAACGGAUCACCAACUAAAUAAAUAAAAGCUAGAAGGGGUUUGCGGAAGGGCGACUCGCUAUCCCCUUAUCUAUUCCUGUUGGUGGCGGAAGGUUUAGCGAGAUUGACGGAAAGAGCCAUUUGUAAUGAAUUAUCGAGAGGCAUCGGACCCAAUGAAAAGACUAAAGUAGCUAUCAUUUAGUAUGCAGAUGAUACUAUCUUCUUUUGUGAGGCUAAAAAAAGACAAGUAAAAAAUAUUCUUUUCUCGUGGCAAAUUUUUGAGUGGGCAUCUGGUUUGAAAAUUAAUCGACGGAAGUCUAAAUUAUUUUAAAUGGAGCGGAAUGAACGACUCAGUAGGAGAUUGGCGAAUUUAUUAGGGUGUAAACUGGGAUCUUUCCCAAUUAACUAUCUCGGUCUACCAUUAACAACUGACCGUCUAAAAAAAGAAGACUGGUGGUUUGUCAUUGACAAAAUGGAGAGGCAGAUCAAAGGGUGGCAAGCUAAACUUUUAUCACAAGGAGCUAGAUUAGUUCUCGUGAACUCAGUUUUCUCAAACCUGCCUCUUUAUUACUUCUUGAUCUUCAAGGCACCGAAGUGGGUAUUGCGUCGUCUAGAAGCCUUGAGGAGAGCCUUUUUUUGGUGAAGGAAUACCGUUGUGUUGGUGGCUGAAAGUCCCGACCCUUGACUAGGUCAGAAUACAGUCCUCGGGAAGGGCGUCGGGAUGAUACGCGGUCGUUGAUUUGACCCUCGAAGUUUGCGCCCACGACGGAUCAAGCGAUUCAGCCAAUGAGGGAUCGAAUCAGCCGGGUUCGAAAACCUCUACAGUAAAUUCGCUUCGGCAGGAUGAGCCGAAUAUAGAGGGGAAGCCUGUAUCUCGGCUGAGAGAUGAGCCGAACGACUGAACAAUUCGAGAUCUGAUCGGCAAGAAAGGCCGAUAAAACAACUUUUUAUUAAAAAGGAAGACAGAGAAUUACAGGAACAGGGGAGUGAUGCCCGUAGGGUAGACAGACUCCGAGUGUGCUAAAUUACAGGGAACACUACUCCUAAUGAAAAAGCGGUAAAUGCAGAAAAGAAAGAUGCAGGAAAAUAAAGGUGGUCUUUUGUGCGCAGGGGCGAAGACCCGUUUUCAGAGUAUCGAACGCUUAUUUAUAGAAUUGCCCUUGCGUUAGUUAUUCCUCUUGCACGAUCAGCCACGAUCUCCUGAAUUAUAGGACCACCUUUGGCCGAUCGGAACCGCUCAGAACCGCUUGCGGUUGCUAUAACUUCUUGGUCCAGCGCGGCUCGCGUGUAUCCGGUGUACUCUAGGUCUACCGUUUUAGCCGUCUUACUGAUAUGGACCCGACGUGCCAUCUGUUCGCGCCUGACUGGCUCAACAAUUGCCCCCUCGGCAGCUUUUGAAGCGAUGCUUCGGUAGCUGGCGCUAUUUUUUCGAACUCUUGGCAUACUCUUUGUCUUAUCUUCUGAAAAACAAGUGCGAUCCGAGGCGUCUUCCUCGAUCCAAUCAAGUUUAAAUUCUCUGACACAAUCUGUAAUACAAUCUUUUGUACGAUUUAAUUUUGGCCGCUGAUUCUUUCUUUUACGGCCUUGAUCACAUUCUUUAUUUUUGCCUCAUACGCGGCAUUAAUUAGGUCAUUUUAAUUACCGCCGUUUAAUCAUCAUUAAAGCCGACCUCGAAACUCGCUUUGAUAGGACGGUUCGAUUCGAUGGCCUUUCUUCUUCUCCAAGCUUUUACCUUUUUGUCUCUUCUAUUCCUUCUUCGUUUUCCAGGAAACUCUUCUUUUGCUUCUUUUGGCAUUUUCUUUGCUUUGAUGCAUGGCGCCUCUUCCGCCAUUGCCCACUCGUCCUUCCUUGGACUAUACUCUGCUUAGGCCAUAUCUUGAUUCGGACCCUGCCAGGUUUAUCUUGGGUCUCUCAUUUACCGCAGACCCAUCUGCCGAUGAUUUUUCAUUUUCUAAUGAAGGUCUUCCUUUGAUGGCUGAAAAUAUUCAUCUUUAUUCGUGGUAUCCUUCGGCUUCGAUGGGAAGAAGUCUUCGAACUUGGCCUAGUACUUCAGACGCCUAUUUGGCUUGGUUGGAUCGUGUACAAGCCACUCACGGCGAUUUAUGACGAGAAACUAGCAUCUAUGAAGCCAUCCAGCUAUCCCGAAAACCUCCUUCAGCUGACUUCCUUCUUUUGGCUUCCGCCCUUUGUUUCUGGUCCCCUGUUUUCAACAUUUUUCUUUUUAGAGGCGGUCCUCUCACCCCAACUCUUUUUGACGUCGUCGCCAUUGUUCGCCUGCGCCCUCAUGGUAUCACCCUUUCCAUGGCUUAUAACCCUGAUGGUGUAUCUGAUUUUGAGGCCAAUCUUGAUAUCAAUGAUUUGGCCUACUCCAAAUUUCUUCGUAAAUUUGCAGGUAAAUCUCCCGCUCCGGUCACUAAGAAGGAACAUACUGCAUUCCUUCUGUACUGGUUUUGUCAUAAUCUUUUCUGCACUCGUUCGCAGAAAAUUAACCGAGAUUUUGUUUCUAUCGCCGUUGAUUUAUCUAACGGCGAUAAAUUGGCCUUGGGGCCCUAUUUUCUUGCUUUUGUUUACAGAGAGAUUUUUGACUCUAUUAGGCCGUCACCCAAUGACAAUGAUGUCACCAUUAGCUUGGGUUGCGGUGUUUUUUGGUUUUUGCAGAUGUUUUUACAAAUUUAUUUCAGUAGGCUGUGCCGAGAACCUUUAGAUUUGAGCUCGGCUGCUCGCUUUGACUCCUACGGACUUGCUCUCGGCUGUCCUCCACCAUUUACACCAGGGCAUCCUCUGGACUUCCUCACUUAUUUUUUCGUUUUUAUAAUUCGUGCCCUCACUUUCUUAUUUAUUGGUCUCCUUUUGCUGAUCGAGUUACUGGCCCCCCUUGGUUUUUGGCCAGAUAUGAAUCAUUUCAGGGUGAACUCGCCUCUUCUCGUGCUAGCGAGUAUUCUGACGUUUGGUAUCCUUUCUUGGCUCCUCGGGACUUGCACAUUGGCUUGAAGUCACGCUCGAAGUUAUUGCCCAGUACCGAGGUCUACUCUCCACAGUUUGUGGCGCGCCAAUUUGGUUUUACCCAGGCCAUUCCUGCUCCGGCCAAGUUUUUCACGGCUAAUACGGCCACUCAUCGCCCGCCUACCAAGAGCAUAGCUGACGCCGAUCAGAUUUCGGCUAUGGGAAACCAUCUGCGGCGAUUCUUCAAAUUGGUCAGCUUCAAAACCAAUCAUACCGGAGCAUUAGGUUUUCGCUAUACUGUAAAUUGGGAUAUUUUCCUCAAGAAAACCUUUGCUCCUAUCGUCUCGCAUGCACAUCGCAAGACUCGUCAUCCUCUCAGUAUAAUAUUCCUUUUGAAAAUGACUUCCUGCUUAUAAUUACUGCUACUCAUUCUUUUUAUUUUUGUAGCUCCUUUCCCAAGUAAGAUUCAACCGGAGGGCCCUGCCGAGCCAUCCAUAUCAAACGAAAAAAGAAAGAGGCUGCUGAAACUCCGCCUCCUUCCUCUGUAAUGUUUUCUAAUUUGCUCCUCUUUUGUUCUUUCUAUUUUGCUGUUUGUAAUACUCAUUUUAUUUCCAUUGUCAGUCUAUACCCACACCUUCAUCGGUUCCAAGUUCAAAUAAGAGACCGACUGAGACCGUACAAGUUUCUCCCCUGCCGACUUCGAAACGGCGUAAAUCAGUUGCUAAGCGGCAAUUUCGACGAGCCGACAGUAUUCCUUCGGUUGACAAUCUAGAAGACACAGCCGAAGAUAUGCCUUCGGCCUCAAUUCCAAUAACAAGAACCGAAGACAUACCUUCGGCUAAUAUUCCACCAACAAGAACCGAAGACAUAUCUUCGGCUAGCAUUCCAUUAGAGGAAACUGCUGUGCCAUCCUCAGCUGCGAAACCAAGCUGUGUCCCGACCGAAACAAUUGAUAUCGGGGUACGUCAAAUCAGUUGUUAGUAGGCAAAUUUUAUUUUUCUUCAUCUAUUUAUCUUUUCCUUUUAACGCGUUCAUAGUCUUCUCCUGAAAGAGCUCCUUUUCCUCAUUUCUCAAAGACUCAGAUGGAACGGCAGCUUCGCAGGAAAACCCGUCUUGAGAAGAAGAGAGGGAUGGAAAAGAAGAAAAAAUUUGUUGAAACGGCAAGCACAACGCCGUUACCCGGUGAGGUCAUAUCACCUCGUCCUGCUCCUGUCCCAACAUCAACUGCAGAGGACGAGCAAACAAACAUACCUCUUGGGCGAAUUUCUGGAGAUGAAAGUGCUGUUCCUCCCUGCUCGACUCAAGAAGCUCCCACUCCCGAUGAUCCUUUGUCUGUAACUCUUCAAUCCUUUUUGAUUUCGUGCCCCAGUUCAACCGAAGGGGAUGAUUCUUCAACUAUUAUCAUUUCGUCGGACACCUGAAGCAAGUUCGACGAGUGUCUUAAAAUAUAUGGUGCCGGUAUUCCUAGUUUGGCUCAAAAUCCAGAACAAUUUGAUCGGUUGUAUGCCCUUUUAUUUGAUUUGACCGAUCAAACAGAUGUUACUCCCGGCAUACAAUGUUUUGUGGCAACUUUAUCACUUCAACUUUGAUCUUUUUUGGCUCGGCAGCAAUCUUUAGGCGCCGAACUUGUAGCUUUAGAUCAACAUUUUUAUUGUGUUGAUCAUUUUAAGAAAAAUAUUCCUGAUGUAACAGCUCUGCAUACUGAAGUACAUCAAGAGGAUAAAGAAUUGGCUGAUCAAGAAUCGGCUCUGCAAAAGCGAAUCUUCACUCUUAAAGAAGAAUUAGCAGCAGCCGAGUCUACUCUGGCGCAAACCUCCGAGCGUCGACUUCAACUAAGAGAUCAAUUAAAGUCUAAAAAGAAGGAAGGGGUAAAGCUUAAAGAAGAACUUUCCCAACUUUACAAAGUGCAUCCUCUGAUGAAGCGCCGAAGGAAAGCUGCUGAAACCGCCCAAUCCAAUCUAAUAUCCGAAUGGAACCAACUCAAAGACUUAUUAUCCUGAUUCGGCUUGUAAUAUUCUAAUUCUGACUUUAAUUAUUUUCCUACAUGGAUGGGUAAUAUCUUUUUAAAUACUUUCCGUUGAUUGGUUUUUUACUUUCUGAUCCGUCUUUGUUUUGCAAAUAAUAUGCAUUGCCUCUUGUGAUUCAGCUAAUCUGGAAUGGUCCUUCCCAAUUUGGGGACCAUUUUUCAUAUAUUCGCUCUUUUUGACCGAUUGGAAAAACCAGCCGAAGUACUAAAUCACCAACGACGAAUGUUUUUGAUCGCACUUUCUUAUUAUACGCAUUACGUACUCGGCUUUGGUAUGCUUGCAUACUAUCUAAAGAUGUCAGCCGAGUAUCUGUUAAUUCUUCUGCUUUAUCUUUCAUUAAAUUGCUAUAUUCAUCAGCCGAUAAUUCUUUUUGUUUUUCUAUCCUCAAAGAAGGAAUUGUUAUCUCGGCUGGAAUUACGGCCUCAUGGCCAUAAACUAACUAAAACGGUGUCAUCCCUGUCGCCGUUUUCAUUGAAGUUCGGCAUGCCCAUAAUACUUCGGAAAGCUUUUCAUUCCACUUUCUCGGGUAUUUCCCGAUAUGUCGCUUCAUAAGGUUGAUAACCAUUUUAUUUACUGCUUCUACUUGUCCAUUCGCUUGAGCAUAAUAGGGAGACGAAUGAAGCAGCUUUAUCUUUCGAGACUCGACGAACCGAACAAACUGUCCUCCUGUGAACAUUGUCCCUUGAUCGGUUGUGACGGUCUCAGGAAUCCCAAAGCGAUGAGUUAUAUGAUCUUCAACAAAAUCAAUAAUUCCCUUUUGUGUAACCAACCGAGUGGGUUUGGAUUCCACCCACUUAGUAAAAUAAUCGAUGGCUACUAUUAAAAAUUUGUGACCAUCCGAUGAAUUCGGCUGAAUUUCUCCAUUCAAAUCAAUGGCCCAUCCUCGAAAAGGCUAGGGUUUAAUUAUCGCGUACAUCUCCGAGGCAGGAACCCUCUGAAUUGGGCCAUGAAAUUGACAUUCUUGGCAACCCUUGGCAUACUCUAUGCAAUUUUGAUGCAUAGUUGGCCAAUAAUAUCCUUGGUGCCGAAUUGUCCAUCUUAACUUCUUUCCUGCUAGAUGGGUUCCACAUAUUCCUUCAUGUGUUUCUCCCAUUACUAGUAGAGCUUCUUCCGGCCCUAAACAUUUCAAUAGAAUUUCUUCGGCUGUUCUUUUGUAUAGUUGACCAUCUAACAAACAGUAGCCGAGAGCUCUUCUUCGAAUAUUAUAAUCGACCCUGAUAUUAGGAUCCUCCAAAUAUUUGAUCAAUGACUUCCUCCAAUCAUCUUUUACUUCUACAGGAGCUAUGAUCGGUUCUCGUAUAUGAACUGAAGGUAGCAAUCUUUGCUGUAUUACUAUUGAUUUUGACUUNACAUUCUUGGCAACCCUUGGCAUACUCUAUGCAAUUUUGAUGCAUAGUUGGCCAAUAAUAUCCUUGGUGCCGAAUUGUCCAUCUUAACUUCUUUCCUGCUAGAUGGGUUCCACAUAUUCCUUCAUGUGUUUCUCCCAUUACUAGUAGAGCUUCUUCCGGCCCUAAACAUUUCAAUAGAAUUUCUUCGGCUGUUCUUUUGUAUAGUUGACCAUCUAACAAACAGUAGCCGAGAGCUCUUCUUCGAAUAUUAUAAUCGACCCUGAUAUUAGGAUCCUCCAAAUAUUUGAUCAAUGACUUCCUCCAAUCAUCUUUUACUUCUACAGGAGCUAUGAUCGGUUCUCGUAUAUGAACUGAAGGUAGCAAUCUUUGCUGUAUUACUAUUGAUUUUGACUUCGGCUCUCUGUAUCCUGAAGCCGAUUGGGCCAAUUCGUUUGCCUUCUCGUUUCCCUGUCUGCUCAAAUGUUCGAAUUCGACUUUUCCGAAAUUGCAUAAUAAUUCUAUCGUCUUCUUCAAAUAAUUUUGCAAAGUCGGAUUCUCACAUCGGUAUUCUCCGUUAACCUAUUUUCAGUAUCUAACAGACGUCGGCUUAGGUAAUAAAUGGCAUGUUCUUUCUUCUCUUCAUUUUCUUGAGCCAGCAAACAUCCCAAGUUUUCAUCUGCAGCCGAUAUAUAUAGCUUCAUCGGCUGAUUCGGCUUUGGAGGUACUAGUACCGGAGGAUUUGAUAAGUAUCUUUUUAUAUUUUCAAAUGCCUCUUGCUGUUCCUCUGUCCAAACGAAUUCUUCUUUAUCUUUCAGCCGAAGUAACGGAAUAAAAACCCGGAUUCUUCCGGCUAAAUUAGAUAUAAACCGCCGAAGAUAAUUAAUCUUCCCCAAUAAACUCUGUAGUUCCUUUUUGCAUUUGGGUGGCGGUAACUCUAAUAUUGCUCUUGCUUUAUUUUUAUUAAUUUCAAUCCCUUUUUUAUGCACCAAAAACCCCAAGAAAUUUCCUGCAGAAACUCCAAAGGCGCAUUUCAAAGGGUUCAUUUUUAAAUUAUAUUUUCUCAUUCUCUCAAAAGCGAGCUUCAAGUCGAUCCAAUGUUCGGCUUGUGACUUGGAUUUGAUAACUAUAUCAUCGAUAUAGACCUCCAACAUUUUGCCGAUUAAAUCGUGGAAAAUAAAAUUCAUGGCUCUUUGGUAAGUAGCUCCGGCAUUCUUUAAGCCGAACGGCAUAACAACCCAUUCAAAGGUUCCAAUUGAACCCGGGCAUCUAAAAGCCGUUUUAGCCACAUCUUCCUCAGCAAUAUAAAUUUGAUUAUAGCCAGCAUGUCCAUCCAUGAAGGACAGAAUUUCAUUACCAGCAGCCGAAUCUACUAACAUAUCGGCUAUAGGCAUUGGAUAUUCGUCUUUCGGUGUAGCUAAAUUCAAGUUCCUAAAAUAGAUACAAAUUCUAAGUUUACCAUUCUUUUUACGUACUGAAAUUAUAUUAGACACCCAAUCAACAUAACGGGCCGCUCUAAUAAAUCCGGCCUUUAAAAGAUUUUCGAUUUCAUUUUUAAUUUUAAUACAAUACUCGGCUCAAACCUACGAGCCGGUUGUUUGAAAGGCUUGCCAAUGCUCUACAAUCUCUCGGCUUAAACCUGGCAUUUCUUCGUAGCUCCAGGUGAAGCAAUCCGUGUACUCCUUUAACAGCUUCUUCAAUUCUUCCUGUUGUUGAGCCGACAGCUUAGAACUUAUAAAUGUCGGCUUGUUGUCUUCACAAGACCCCAGGUUUACUUCAAUCAACAAGUCCUGGGUCUCCAGCUUUUUCUCGUCGGCUUUAAUAGGCGAUUCUUCUAGCUCCAUUUCUGCUGUUUGCCUAUUCAUCUCAUAUGAUUUGUCGGUCUUCAUGACCGAUUUCGCUUGACCUUCUUUCUCGGCUUUAUGAACCGAGUUUCUUAUGACUUCUUCGGCCUUAUUGGCUGAAUUAUCAGGUGCUAACAUAUCGGCCUUGGCAGCCGAAUUAUCCUCAUAGCCGAUUUUGUUGAUCGGCUCAUUUUGUUGAGGCUUGUGCCAAGCCUCUAUUCCCGAUUUUUGGGACUCCAUUUUAACCAUCUGGGUGGCUCUUCAUCAGCCACCAUGGCGUUGAUAUCUUUAAAGAGAAUUAAGUGAAUCCCCUCCUCCGUCACUUUCAUGAACGAAAUUUGAUCUGGAUCAGUAUCGGCCCAGUUAGUGUGGCCGAUGUCCUCCAUGUUGACAUCUAUCAUUUGAGGCCGUUCUUCGGCCCGGACUUCUUCUACCUUAUCUCCUAUCCACUAGAACAGUUUCCCGUGGAUUGUGGAAGGCACGCAUUCAUUCGAAUGUAUCCAAUCUCUUCCCAACAGCAAGUUGUAGUGGCUAUGUGCAUCCACUACAAAAAACGCAGUUUUCAAAGUUUUUGAACCUACCGUGAGUUCGGUGGUGAGCACUCCUCGAGCUUGUUGACCGUUUCUUGUGAAAUCGGUCAUGAUUGAGUCGGUGGGCUUCAAAUCAUCUUCAUCUUUGCCCAGCUUCUUGAAAAAGGAAGUGGGCAUCACAUUGACCAUAGCGCCGCCAUCUACCAUAACUCGGCCUACUGGCCGACCUUCUAUCAAAGCUUUUAUAAACAGAGGCCUUAUGAACCUCGCCUGCAUGGCCGAUGGUUUCUCAAAAACCACUGCAUCGGCCUGUUGAGCAUCCUCUAGCUGCAAUUGGGCUACUGUAAGCCCAUUCUCUUCUUCUUCUCUGAAUUCCUCGUACUCCACUAGCUCCGCUUUGAAGGAUUGAGGAAGAGCAUACACCAUAUUUACUUCGGUCGGUGAUUCGUCAGCCGAUUUCCCUUUGAUCCUUUGUUUCUUUUCUUCUGAUUCCUUGGCCGUUUCGGCUGAAGAGUCACUCUCCAUACGGACCUCCCUUUCUUUAGGAGGCCACCUUUCUCUUUUGAUUAUUGUUUCGAGGGAAGCUAUUUUAUCUUCUAACUCCCUUCUGGUCAUUUUUUCUUCUACCUCGGCCUCUGUUGGCCGUUCUAUUCUUGACUUCAACUGAAGGGCAGGUGAUGAGCCGCCUGCCUCAUGAUCAUUCUCAUCGGACGAAAAGUGUAUGGUCGCUCAUCAGGGCGUCGCCAUACAUUGAGCCUCAUCCCUUUCGCCUCUUCAUAAUUUUGUCUUGCCUCGGCUUGCAUCCUCUGCUGUCGACGCUUCUGAGUUUUCGUCAACAUCGGCCCCUGCCACCUGGCCGAUGGUUUAACUUCUACUUCGUGCCAUUCAUCCACUGGCACGUUUGCCGGUACUUUAACCGUUCUUAAAUGAUUUUUUGGAAUUUCUCUUCUCUCCCACGGUCUCGGCCAAGGCUGUAUGCCGAGUUCGUUGACUAGUCUGCGACCGAGGAAUUCUAUGUCACUCUCAGUCAUUCCUUCAAAUUCCGGUUCUGGUCUCGGCCUGGCUUGUUGUUGCCAAUGUGGCCGAUACCCAGGGAACCUUGGCUUGGAGCCGAAUGGUCUGUCAUGGUAGUCCCAUCGGCCAUUACGUUCUUCACGCCUGUUGUUGUAGUAGUCACGCAGGAUCUUCUGCAUCAUCAUGUCUUUCUUGCGUUGAACCGAAUCUACUUCCGGUUCAGUGUCAUUAGAGGUUGCAUCCGAGCCUUCUUCUUCUUGGUACUCGCCAUCGGGAAUAUCAUCCUAAUCUUCAGGGAACGCCAUCAGUUCAUUCCAUUCGUUCCCCCUUUUUUUGGCGUUCACGAUAGCUUCCCAGUCUUUUUUUGUCAUUUCGGCAUUGCACCUGAUGCAUAGCCGAAGAUGCUUUUUAGCAUGAGCCACAUUGUCAGCGGUCUCUUUGUCCAAAACUUCUUUUCCUUUGAUAUUCACCAUAUUGAUCUGAAAUGGAAAUGAAGUUUUGUUAAUUAUCUGACUUUCAUUUUCUUGGUUGGCCAAUAUGAGUCGACCCUCUUCUAUUUCUUCCUGGAUCUGCCUUUUUGCAGUCGCUUUCCCUUUCCCUUUCAUGUUCACGGUGUUGACCUGUGAUGGAAAAGGAUUCUUAUCAAUUUUCAUAUCUUUAUUUUCUUGGUCAGCAAAGAUCAGCCGACCCUCAUUUAUCUCUUUUUGAAUUUGCCUCUUAAAGGCAGUGCAUUCACUAGUUUUAUGACUCCAUGAAUGGUGCCAUUUGCAGUAUUUUCUGCGUUUCAACUCUUCUACAGGAGGUAUAGUUUGGCCUUCCUGUAAUUUAAUGCGUCCAUCCUUUAACAACCGAUCGAAAAUAAGAUCGGUCUUUGCGAUGUCAAAUGAAUAACUAAAUGCUAAUAUUUGCGCUUUUGCUUCUCUUGACUUUGCUGGUUUUAGCAAAGCACAUUUAUAUGGUUGACUAUUUCUCACCAUUUCGGCAGCACAGAUUUCGGCUUCAUCAGCCGAAUCUUCUGUCUCUUCCGAUGAAUUCGGCUCUUUAUGAGCCGAGGAUUCUUCAAAGAAAGAAAUAUUUUUCUCUUUCCCUUUAUUCCAAUUUUUGUUUCGGCUCCACCUUGGUCGGUCGUCAUUAUUUCGUUUUCGAAACUGCUCGUAUUGAGCAACUCGAACUCCCAAAUCAAACAGGUUUGGAAAAAACUUAUCCUCAAAAUGAUCUUUAAUUUUAAAAUGCAUGCCGUUGAAUGCCAUUUUGGCAAACUCCAAUUCCGGCAUCCUUACAAAGCAUCGGCUUCGAGCCGUCUUAAAUCAGUUUAAAUAUUCAUCAACCGAUUCUCCCGUCCUUUGUCUAAAUUGAGUCAAGUCUGCAACCGACAACUCAGGCUCGGUUCUAUAAAACUGCUCAUGAAAUUUACCCUCUAAUUCAUUCCAGUCCCGAACGGAAUUAGCAGGUAAACUUGUAUACCAAGUGAAGGCUGUCUUAGUUAGUGAGGUGUUGAGUAAUCUUAACUUCAAAAAAGGAUCUGCCGCUGCUUCGCGGCAUUGGGCCGUAAAUCGAGUGACGUGUUCGACCGUAUUUUCGGUCUCAUCUCCAGAAAAUUUGUCAAAUUUCGGCAUCUUCCAAUUUGCCGGAUAUGGGUGUUCUACAUCUAUAUUAGCAGGAUAUGGUGAUCUGAAUACAGGCCGCAUUGCUGGCCUUGUGCCUACUCCGAAAGUAUUCCAGAUCGCUUCUUCUAUUUGCGCAUAAAUCUCAUUAUUAAUCCCCUGUAUGGGGACUUGCGCUGGCACUGGAUUCGGUGGUUGUUGAACCCCGAUAUUCUGUACUAGGGGAUUAACCCCUUGUGCAUUCGGAGCCUGCCCCCUAGCCCCUACAUUUUGAGGCUGGUAGGCUACAACUGGAGGGGGUGGAGGUAAUCCCCAAGCCACUUUCGGCUGUUGACCGGUGUUUCCAACAACCGGUCUAUAAGCCGCUUGAUACUGUGCCCCCUGGUAUUGGGGCUGACCAAUAACCGGUGUUACUGGAUUUUGUAACACAGGCAUUAUCACAGGCGCUUGAAGGCCUGCUAUCGGCUGUUCGUUUCGAGUUAACAACUGCCCUAUUCGGGCUAUGUUCUCGUUAGAGGCUGUGAUUGCGGCCAAAACGGCAUCCAGCCGCGCGGUACUCGCAUGACUAUUCUGGUCCAAAGUCUGUUGGACCCGAGUCAUUUGGCUGAGUGCUUGGGUCAAACUAGGCUCCUGUUGGCUAGAUUGACCGCUAGUCUCACCUUCCACCGGUAAAACUGCUUAGCGUUCCACUGCGUUCUCCGAAUUACUGGGCUGUUCACUCCCAGAAUUUCUAGAAAUGGCCCUAUUACGGAGAUUCAUGGCGUUUUCAUCGGCCAUAUUAUAAAAUGCAAAUUUACCUCAAAAGGGUUCCACCGGACGUGCCAAAAUUUGUUGGUGGUCGAAAGUCCCGACCCUUGACUAGGUCAGAAUACACUCCUCGGGAAGGGCGUCGGGUUGAUACGCGGCCGUUGAUUUGACCCUCGAAGUUUGCGCCCAUGACGGAUCAAGCGAUUCAGCCAAUGAGGGAUCGAAUCAGCCGGGUUCGAAAACCUCUACAGUAAAUUCGCUUCGGCAGGAUGAGCCGAAUAUAGAGGGGAAGCCUGUAUCUCGGCUGAGAGACGAGCCGAACGACUGAACAACUCGAGAUCUGAUCGGCAAGAAAGGCCGAUAAAACAACUUUCUAUUAAAAAGGAAGACAAAGAAUUACAGGAACAGGGGAGUGAUGCCCGUAGGGCAGACAGACUCCGAGUGUGCUAAAUUACAGGGAACACUACUCCUAAUGAAAAAGUGGUAAAUGCAGAAAAGAAAGAUGCAGGAAAAUAAAGGUGGUCUUUUGUGCGCAGGGGCGAAGACCCGUUUUUAGAGUAUCGAACGCUUAUUUAUAGAAUUGCCCUUGCGUUAGUUAUUCCUCUUGCACGAUCAGCCACGAUCUCCUGAAUUAUAGGACCACCUUUGGCCGAUCGAAACCGCUCGGAACUGCUUGCCGUUGCUAUAACUUCUUGGUCCAGCGCGGCUCGCGUGUAUCCGGUGUACUCUAGGUCUACCGUUUUAGCCGUCUUACUGAUAUGGACUCGGCGUGCCAUCUGUUCGCGCCUGACUGGCUCAACAAGUUGUUAUGGGGGGACAUUGCCUGGUCAGUGGAAAACUAUCUAUCAAAGUAAGAAUGAAGGUGGUUUAGGAGUUAAAGACUUAGAGACUAUGAACGUAGCUUUAUUGAUUAAAUGGUGGUGGAGGUUCUUUUCUAAUAGGAACCAUUUGUGGGGUGCAUUAAUAGAUGGAAUUUAUUAUAUACGAAGGAAACCACUUGUGGAAGGUAGGUCAUUCAAACCUUAUUUUUAUGGUGGAACAGUGUUCUAGCGACCAGGGAGGUUUUUAAAUGUGGCAUCUCUUACACAAUUGGAAAUGGUCAAAACGUCAAGUUCUGGACUAACAUUUGGUGUGAACGAGCUCCACUGCGAACUAUAUAUCUGUGUAUCUUCGAUAAAAUCAUGUUCAAAAACUACAGAGUGAAGAAGUGUUGGGGAAGAAAUGGUUGGAAGUGGCAUAAGAUUCUGUCAGGGUUCACCCCUACGUCUUAGAUAGAAAGCGACCAACUUUCGGAACAAAAGGAGACAAUUUCUACGAUUUCUCCAUGUAAUACACAAGAUGAAGUAAAAUGGAGGUGGACCCGUUUUGAAAUAUUGUCGGUCAACUCGGCUUAUAAAUUUCUCCUGGACGGUGGAGUUAGAGUCGAGAGUUCGGUAAGCCAAUGGAAGAUCAGAGCCCCUCUUAAAGUCAAGAUUUUCGUUUGGCUCGUGUUGAAAAAAAAAGGUGCUCACCACUGACAACCUCCUUAAAAAGGCUUGGAACGGGGAUGAGAAUUGUGUUUUAUGUCUGGACUAGAAGGAGACUGUGGACCAUCUCUUCUCUGGCUGCGCUUACACUUCGGCUUUGCUAAAAGGUCUACUACCUAAUAAACUACCUUUUAACAAUCGUUCAUCCUCGACAGAGAUAUGGAAAACGAGUAGCGGCAAAAGGUGCACAAGGGGUUAAAGAGAUGACGACCAUCGCCGCAAUGUGGUGGGUAAUUUGGUUAGAACGUAACAGAAGAAUUUUUCAGAAAUCUAAAAGGUCGUUGGGGUGUUUGUUGAUGGAGACUAGAGUGCUCAGAGACUCGUAGGAUCGUUACUGCUUUUGAUUUUCGUUGUUUCUCUUUUGUCUUUCUUUUGUCUUUCUUUUAUUUUUCUUUCAUACUAUGAGCCUUUCUCUUGUCUUUUUCCUUUUCCCUUACCUUCGAGGCCCAGGAUGCCUCAAUUUGUUGCCUAGUUCACUUUCUAGUUGAAUGAAGCGAUAGCAUGCUACCUUUUCUCAAAAAAAGAAAGAAUUCAUCCUCUUCCACUACGUCGAGAUCCGGCUGUGACAAAACAUCAAGAACCCCGGCAGCGUCAAUCAGGACCCUAUCUUCAAGAACUAUAGGCUCCCGCCCAAUGGGGUCGGAUUCCCCGGCAGCAUCUUCAACCCCCUCAAUUUCGCCCCCACCGUCGAGGCCAAGGAGAAGGAGCUCGCAAAUGGUUAGUGCCAAAAUUACUUACUUGAGUCCUUCAUCCGAUUAGUAGUAACAUGAUUUUUGUUAGUUGUUUAUGAUAAUGCGCAGGGAGAUUGGCGAUGUUGGCGUUCCUGGGCUUUGUGAUUCAGCACAAUGUGACAGGGAAGGGGCCUUUUGAGAACCUGCUGCAGCACCUCUCUGACCCAUGGCACAACACCAUCAUCCAGACCCUAGGGUUAAGAUUCUUAUUAUUGUUUGUAACAGGGGGCUUGGGUGGGGACUUUUUGUUUUUUUGAGGUGGAUGCAUAGUGUGACAGCGAAAGGAGAAGAUAAAAAACGAUGGAAUUUAAUGUCAUGUACAGAAGAUUAUUUGAGCAUCAUUGUAAUGCUAUCUAUGCUUUUCUCACUACCAGUAGGUUUUCACUAGUUUCAAGAGAAAAUGCAUCCUUUUUAUUCUUCUUAAGCUGACACUCUAGCUUCAGCUAUUGCUUGACGGCACAUUUCAUCUCACAACACAAUAGUUUAACUCCGAUUUGCCCCUUACUCUGAAUAACAGAAGCCUAGAGUUUUUGACCAACCAAGAGUUAUUACGGCUUCUUUCAACAAUCCCAUUUAAACAACACUCCAGCACAAACUAUUGCAAGGCACAGGGCCUUAAUAAGGUUCAAAUUGGAAAAAUUGCCGAACCCCUACGCUGACAAAUUUCUAGAUUACUAAGUUUGAGGCAAAUAACUACACUGGAUUCAUCCUGGAGGAAUUCUAUAUAUAUAACCAUGGAAACGACAUUGAAAGGGCCAGCAGUGUGUUAAACCUUAAAAAUCGUAGUAUCCGAAUGCCAGGAAACAAAAGCAGAAAAAAUUUCAGUGAACUUGGAUCUGAUUAGAAACAGAUAAUUUUCUUUCGUGUCAAGCUAUUUACAGAGGAAGUCGAAGUACAAUAAAUAAAGAGUCCUUCGAGCUCAAGGAUUAGCAACUCCAAAUUCAGGAUGCCAUUUUACAGAACUGUUUACAUACUUAAAUCUACAUGACACCAAGAUAUAACAUCUAGGAAAGAUAUCGUUUUAUGAGAGGCUUACCAAUAAGUUAACAACGAUACCACCUGAAAAUUUAAGGCAUCUCAGCAAACCAACCUUCAAUUGUUCAGAUGUAACUAAUCUGAAGUCGAACUGAAGCUUCAAUUAAUUCACUCCUUUCACAAAAAAGAACUAGAAGAGGAUAUGAACCUUCAACUAAUUCACCCUCGACACAUACAAUCAGGGGCAGGGUAUGUAUAGAUGGAUUGCUUUGGCUUCCUCAACCGAAUUUGUCCGUAUCUACCUUUGUGCCCCGCCCGAACAGCCUGCUCGAACUCAGACCAUCCUAUGCUCUUGUUCAAAAAGAGCUGGCCUAGCAAUGCCAUAUUGGGCCGUAUGGUCUUCAAGUUUUCAUACGUCCGGUGGCCCAGCUGAAACCAUCGAAAGCUCAUUGUCAGAAACUUUAGCUCAACUCCUUAAAUAAUAAUAAAAAAAUAUUAAGUAACUACUAAAAUGUACCACGAAACGCUUACCACUGCAUUGUGCAUAUUUCCUGGAGAUGCAGAGAUGAAGAUAUCACUAUGCACACUCACAUAAUAAUCAACAGCAGCUAGUAGAGAGGCCUUCCCUUCUACCUUUGUGAGCUCCUCUACAGAUGCAAGGCUCUUCUUAUCCUCCAUCAAUGGGAAAAGCUUUCGCAGGGUAGAGAUCCGAGACUCCCCUCCGUACACCUGAAACAUAUAUUCAUAUUAGUAUUUAAAGGACCUUAUAACAGCAAUGGUUUCCUCCACUUAGACAAAGAUAGUAUAGACCUUGUGUGAAGCAAGAUAGAGGCGAGUUUUACUGUCAAAGCCUAAGGCAGCUAGCAAUAAUCCUAUUUCUUCUGGAGUCAGUGGGCAUCGACCCUGGCUCCGGAGCUCCUCAUCGGUGAACUGAGAGUUUAAGACCCUUCCUUGCCAAAUUACUUGCCUGUACUUGGCCAAAGCUAGCCUCUCAGCUUUGCCACCACCGAAAUCACAGGCAGAAUGUGCAGCCAUAUCCUGCAAAAUAUUGAUGAACUUUAUCAGUUUAAAAAAAAAACGGCUUCAAGUAAAAGAUAGGAAUUGAAUUGUUAUCUCUCUCUUUGAUUGGUACUAUAUUAUAGGUUUCGUAGGUACCUUGUCAAAUCGAAGAUGUAAAACAGCAAAUUUCCCUGACUCCUCAUUAGCAUUUUCCUCCACUACCUCUUGCAAAAUUUCAUUGGAAUGUGGGUUGACUGGAUUCCUUAAGCGUUUCACAAGGGACUCACCCAAUGCAUUAAUAUGUGGAACGAAAAUCAAAGCUUGGAAGUUUACUUUACAGCGUAGCUGUUGAAUUUCCUUGGGUAAAUCGUCGAAAGCUAACCGGUGUGAAAAUGGGGAAAUGGCAGCUAUUCCAUAACUAAAAUACAAGAAGGAAACAACCGAAUAAACGACACUCAGUUAGCAGGUAAAAUUGUGUCAAUGUGAAAAACUAAAAUAUAUUUCUCAAGAACUUGUAUUAAUUAAUUGCAAGUUAUGAGAUCAGCAAGUAGCAGAAUGAUAAUAAUAUCAAGAUGUGCAAUAUGCAUGGGAGACAAAAUAUAACAAAUUUAAUCACAAAUAGAACAGGUACUACUCUUCAUUGUAUAUCAAGGUAGACAAUCAAAAUACAUUAUCGGCUAGAGCUAAAAGGUUCAUUUGUUUACAAACCUCUGUAGAACAGGAAGAACAUUUUCUAGAUACCAAUUUGCGGAAGCAUGAACAGGUGCAGUCUUAACUCUUGUAGCUCGAAUACCUAGAGCAUAGUACUCUCUCGUGCUCCAGGAAAAUUCUUUCGGCAACUCUCUAACUAUUGAAACUUCAUCUUUUAAAAAAUUAAUAAAGUGAUCCACAUCAUAGAUUUCCUCAAAUGAGCUGCAGAAGCAAUGCUGACUAUAUCAGAAAUUAUCUUAUACAAAAUGGGUGAGCAACAAACAACUGAGAUUCUAUUCUAGAUGUACCUUGAAUCUUGCCAAACCAGGUUUACUUCAAGGUGCGGGAUAACAAGGGUUGCAUUAAGAAUUUUAGCAACAAUAACUGCAUCGCAGAUCUAUUAAGAAAACGGCCAUUAUAAGAUAAUUACUCUCUAUUAUAAGCCUAACAAAGAAGGCUCCAACAAAGAAUUAUGGGAGCUAUCCCUUCAACCAUGAUGAUAAGGUAACAGCUUACCCCCAUCCUUUGUUGAUUCAAUCCACCGUCAAGAAAUACUUGAAUAUAUCCACUUGACUUAGCAGGGAGAACUACUCAAUAGAAGAAAGGAUGAAAUGUCACAAGAACUGCUUGCGAAAAAUAAGUUUAUAUUCACAAGAAGCAAAAUGGCACAAAAGAGCUGUUAUUUGCAGUUGAUCCCGCACAAACAGAGUAAAAUCAAAACAUUGCAGUUAAAUGCACUUACCAGGUCUACUUGCUGACCCAAUGCAUGGUUUCCAUCCUUGAGGACUUAACUGUGACCAGAGCUCACUCUUCUGUUCAUCCGACUUUGAAAGAAGAGCAUUGUAUUAAAUUAACAAUCCAUAAGAGGCUGUUAUAACUGAAAAAUGGAGCUUAUUUUUAAUAGGUAACACUCACUAUUUUCCGAUGUAAAGCUCCCUCCAAAAGAGCUAGAUGCCGAGGUUUAGGGGCGUUCCACUCCUGUGCAGAAGAAUUGGAACAUAGUCUUAAUAGACAUUCUACAAUUACCAUCUCUUUUUAUAAGCUAAUUUAUGCGGCUAGCUUCACUUGCAACUAAAACAACACAGAAAAGGACUUCAUUCACACAAUUAAAGCAACUAAAUACAUCAAAUACCCAAAAAUUCAGCGAAGUGUAUUCCCCAUUCCUAAGUUAUACCCUUUAGCGUUUGAUUCGGAUAUAAGCAAGAACCAGCUAUUACAGGGAUAGGUACAAGUAUGGGGAUAAGAAAAAUAGCGUUUGGAUGAAAAUUGAGUUGUUCCUGGGGAUAAGAGAAAUAGCGUUUGGAUAGAUAAUAUGGAAUAAGAAAAACAGUGGGUAGAUAUAUAUAGAAAAUGGAGGUUUUGGUGGGGAUAGUUAUACCAGAUUAUUUCAUGUAUGCGAGAACUACUAUUCUCGGAUAAAAAAUUUGCGUUUGGGUAUAAAAGGGGGUAAGGUUAUCCCUCCCCUUAUCCCCAAUCCAAACACUGAGGUAUCUCCUAGUAACUAAAUAUUUUCUCUUAAGUAGAUCAAUUAACACAAAAUCCCGUAAAAACUGCUCCAAGCUCGAAAUUAGCAUUCUUCUCUACUCACAUAGCCAACAUAGCCGUCAAAAUCGAACAAAAGAUAAAAAAAUAAAAAAAAAAACACGCAUACUAUUAGGGCUUGUUUGGUUCAAGGGUGGAAUUGGAAUGGAUAAUGAAAUGUGAAUGAAUUGGAAUGGUAAUUGGAAUGGCCCACUCCCCCAAGACGUUUGGUUUAGUUGUGAAUUGGGAAUUGGAAUGAGUUAUUCACAUUUCAUUGUUUGGUUCGUAUAAAUUAAAAAAAUUAUAGGAUACUAUAAUACUAAUUUUACUCUCAAAUAUAAAUUUAUAUUAUUUAAAAUUUAUGAAAAAUAUAAUAUUAUUCUCUAAUAAGUUUUUCAAAAAAAAAUAUCAAAUUUAUUUUUAAAACUUUUAUUGAUGUGGGUUAGGGAUAGGGUUUUGAAAAAGGAUAGGUUUUUUUUUUUUUGUUGAUGAGAAAGGGGUGAAGAGAAGGAGGGUGAGAUGGUCACAUGGGCUUCGAGAACUUAAUGAGCUUCCGGAAUGAAAUCUCAAUCCGGGCUAGAAAACCGGAAUCAAGUUGAAGGCUAAUGGGCCAUUUCCAUUCCAGUCCGGAAUAGGAAUCCCCAACCGAUUCAUGCGAACCAAACAAAAUUAACCGGAUUUGAUCGAACCGAUUCCUAUUCCAUACCCAAAAUGGAUGAACCAAACAAGCCCUAAGCCCUUAGAGUAAUAGCUCAUAAUCCAAAGAAUUUCUACUGUGAUCAACGGAAUCUUCCUCAAAUUUAAUUUAUUUUUUUUAAAAAAAGAGCACAAGGUAAUCAAUUCGGGAAGAGGGAACGGAGCUCACCGAGAAGAUGGAGGGCGAGACGCGGCCGAGAGGGGAGAAGAGGCCGGGGAAGAAGACCGGAAGUAGGAGGACAAUAAGGGCGACGAGCGCCCCCUCCCUGUUGGAGUGGUAAUGGCGCCACGACCUCAUCACCUACCUCGCUCCGCCGCCACCGGAAUUGGCUUCACUCCGAGGAGCCGUUGCAGUCGCCGCCGCCGCCGCCGUUCAAAACCCUAACCCUAGAAAUGGAUUGGGGGAAGAGAGGGAUGAGAGCGGAAGAGAGCGGAAGAGGAUGGAGACGGGAGGGGGAGGAGGCGACUUCCUCCUCUGUUGGAUCCGGCGAUCGGUCGCUAAAUGAUACCAUGAGCUUACGUGUCGUGUGGCGAUUCGAAGUAAAUGGUGUUCGACCAAGUUGCGCUUCUCCAUUAUAGCUGUGGUAAUGAGUGUAGCGGCACACACUCGACAGCGCAUUAUAACGGGUGCAGCUGUUUGGAUCCACACUUUUUUCCGUUAUUCAAAAAUACUCAAUUCCAUACCAUCCGUUAAAUUACUUUAAAUUAAACAUAGCUUAAAUAACUGUUAGAACUAAAAAAAAAUUAAAAUAUUUUUUUUUGCUCUAAAUUUAAGAAAAAAUAAUAAAAAUUGGUGAUUGUAGAGAAAUAUAUUUGAAAAAAUCAAACAUCAAAAUAGUUCUUUUGCCCCUAAUUUAAGGGCAAAUAAAAAAAUUGGUGAUGGUAAAAAGAUAUAUUUGAAAAGGUAAAAUAGUAAUUUCACAGAAAAAGAUAUAUUUUUAGUAUUAUCCUUCUAAGAGGGCAUAAAUUAGAAAGUCAGAAACUUUUUAGGGAUUAUAUAAUCAAGGCAAUUUGCAUAAAAAAUUCACAAAUUUUGAGUUUUUGCAAAACUGUGCCGCAUUUUUCAAUUUUGCAGAUUCGGUUAAAAUUUUCAGUAAAUUGACCAAAAUACCCUUAUUACUUUUUCUCUCUUCUCUUUUUUUUUCUUUCGUUCAUUCUUUUUUCUCUCGCCGAAGAAAGCAGCGGGGGCGAAAACGGCCCGCUUUGCCUCUCACCCUUAUGCCCUCGCCCUCGCCCGCGCAUCGCCUUUCUCACCUCCGACCCCGCCGAGGCCGUGCCAUGACUCUUUUUUUCUCCUUCUUCGACCCUCCUCCACCGUCUCUGACGACAACGCUUCUCUUGCCCUCUCUCGCCCUUCUCUGCCCUUCUCGUCCUCUCCCUCUCCCUCCUCCUCCGCCGCCUUCGACGACGACGCAUUUUCGUCGACGUCGGCGUUGCGGAGGUCGCUACGACGCCGUAGCCUCGGAGGGGGGGUCCUAAGCGGCGUCAUCGUUGGCGUCGUGGCCGUUGGCAGAGAGGGAUGACAAAAAAAAAUUGUAGAAAAAGAAAGAAGAAAAAAAAUAAAGAUAAAAAAUUAUAGGAAAAAAAUGAAGAUGAAAUUACACCGUUAAAAAUAAAUUGCACUAUUUUAAAAAAAUGUUGCACUAUUAUGGACAUUUGUUACACUACUUAAGAUUUAAACUGUACCUUUUAAGAUAAAAGUUAAACUCUUAAACAAAAAUUGCACUCUUUGGAAGAUAUUUAUACUGUUUCUUUUCUUAUUGUACUAUUUGAGAUGUAAACUGCACCCUUUAAAAUGAAAGUUACACUCUUUGAGAGAUAUUUACACUAUUUCUCCUCUUCUUGUUCUCUUUAAGAUGUAAACUACACCCUUUAAGAAAUAUUUACACUGUUUCUCCUCUUGUUGUACUAUUUCUCCACUUAAAGGGCACAACAAGAGAAGAAACAAUAUAAAUAUCUCUCAAACAUAAAAUAUCUCUCAAAUAGUGCAACAAGAAGAGAAACAAUUGCGAGGACUGAGAUUUUGCAAUGUAGCUAAUCUCUUUGUUGACGAUAUUUUUUUGUGUAAUUUAAUUACAAAAGCACUCGUCAAGUUCAGCAAAAAAUGAGUUAGAAUGGAGAAGUUACGCGAUCAUUACUAAUCACUUAAAGUGAAUAGUAACUUCAGUUUUUCGGAAAGGCUGAUCAGUGGAGAUGGCUUCUGGUGCGUAUCGGACUCCGUUCAUAGCACUCCAAUAGCUCGUUUUCAAUGGUUCAACUAUUCUGAAACUAUUGGCGCUGUCGGAUUUCAGAUCUAACGCACGGUUUUCGAGAAAACUGGAGAUACAUAUAAUAUUAUAUAUUUGUGCGUAGUUUUGCCUUUUUGGUGAGAGAAUAAGUUCCGUCGUGAAUUGGCGACACAAUCAGACGAAAAAAAAUUUGUAGAUUCAAUGCCCUAGUCGUGCUGAACGCGUUGGAGCAAUUUGAUCGGAAAUCCGACGGACGGAUCUCUGGGAAUCGCGAAAAGUUCGCUGAAGGGUCGAAAUUGGUAAAACGGAAAAUCUGUAAGAAAGCCUAAUAUUUUAUGUACCGUUUUGCAUGAUUUCGAACGUCGAGGUGCGUACGUGCGAAACGCACGCCUGUGAGGGACUUGGCUAUAAAUAUCCAUCCCUGAGGGACUAAAUUGCUUAUUGGCCAGCUUAUAUAUAUUGUAACCUAGGGUUUCAUGGAAGAAACCCUAACCCUAGCUGACUAGCUGCCUCAGCUGCACCCCAGCCGCCACCAACACCUUUGUACCCUAGCCGCGCGCGCAUCCUGGCCGUCGGCGAGCACCCUCGGCCGCUGAAAUCGAGCUGGCUUUGGAAACCUCCACUUAGGUUUCCUCCUCUCUGUCGUGAGCCACCUAGAGUCACCCACACACGUCGAGCCGUUGUCCCCUGGCCGAGACCGACCUCCGGCGUCAUCCAUGUCGGCCCCCGCCGCCCACAUGCACCGUCGGCGCCGCCUGGGCUUCCUGAGGCUAGCCGAUAUCCAGCUCGGGCCGAGCUCAGCCAAUCCCGAGGCCCGCCCGCCGCCGCCACUCUUGGCCGGCCGCGCCACCCUCCUGGGCCUCCGGCGACCCCUCGCCGCCAGCGNCGCCGCCCUCCUGGGCCUCUUGCGACCCCUCGCCGUCGGCGCCGCUGUUGCUGCGGGCCCCCGGCUGCUGCUUUAACUCACUGCGGCAGCCAAGACUCAGUUUGGGCCGAGCGUUAGCUGCAUCACCUCUGCGCACCACCGCCGUCGUUGGUCUACCGUGCCGUACUCCCCCGGCCUCCAGCGACCAGUUGCCGCCGCACAUUUAUACAAAACUUCUACCCCGAGAACACGCAAUGGAGCCAUAGACAGUCAAGUGAAAUCCAAUCCACAAAAUAAUUUGAUCUAUGGACGGCAUCGUUGUGGUUAAGGUCGUAAUGCCAGAGGAUAUAUCGUCUGCUAAUAUAGGACCAAUUAGUGUUUGCAGAACUUCCCCGGUCGCUGCCUGGCCGCCGUCAACCCAUGAACUCGAGCCCUAGCCCGUGCGGGCUCGGCUUGCUCCGCCGCCGCUUCCGACAUCUCUCGCCGCUGGCAGGCGCGAGUCCUGGCCUCCCCACGUCGACCACACCCGUCGGCCGCCGGCGCACCCGCCGCAGAGUCGCCGUCGGCCUGCCCUAGCCCCUCUGCUUGGUGAGCUUUAUUUCAUGCUGCCUGUGCAUAGUUUCGGGUUUGUGAUUAUUUUUUCGACGAUCCGAGGCUGUCCCGAUGCCUCUGGAGGUGAGCACGGUGAUUGCUAGUCGGUGCUGAUCACAGUGCUCACCUCACUUUGGAUCAGCGAAUUUUCGAAGUUGCUUUUUGGCGCGAUUUUCCCCGAGUGCGCGCUAUUAGCUGAAGGUUCGGGUCACUCCCGCGCCUCCCACAGUGGCCGGCCGUGCUUCGAAGUGUGAGCACGGCCUCCGGUACAUUGAGAUCUGUCAGUGGGUGUCUCGGCCAGACUGAAAGAUCCUCGGUUUGCGCUGUGGGGCCAUAAAACUUCGAAAAUCACAUAGAAUGAUGUGAUUUUAUGUAGUUGCAGGGGCUUUUAUGCAAUUUUACACUGCAUGGGUGCUGUUGGCAGCGUGUGCGGGCAGUGGGUGACCUCUGGACUGGUUGUUCAAGGCCCCGAGCUUUUCUGGAAAUCGAAUGUUGAUUUUCGGUGCGUUUUUCGGCGAAAUCGGUCGACGGAACGCGUUUUUGGUUUGAAAUUCUUCCGACAGUGCCUCACGGUAGAUCACGUUGUCGCUGAGCCUUGUUGGCUGGUCACCCGUGUCGUUUUGAGGGUUCGAAAACGACGGGUGAGCGAUGGUGGGUUCCGGUGUCGAAUUGGACACUUCCGGGGACCCGAAUCGGAACUAUUAUCCGACGAUAAUCGUUUCGAUGUGAGGAGGUGUGUUUGCGGUCAUGUCACAUGAAUAAUUGUGUUUAGUGGCAGCGGAUGACUCGUAGUGUGAGUUGGUGAGUUCCGGGACAGUUCGUGAGUCCCAGCGGAGUCCUGGUGCGAUUUUCGGGACUUCUGGCGUGUUAUGGCAGUCGGUUUGGGAAAGCAAUUCUUGUGGGUUUACAAGUGGGGGAUGUGAUGUAGUGAUUCGUAUUCGUGGGUUGGACUCUAACCUAGUGGACCCUUUGUAGGUCCGGUUGAUUCUUCUCCGCAGUCGGGAGACCAGUGCCAGAUACGUACAGGUGGGUAUUUCGACCCAUCUCUUAUGACCCUAUAAUCUGAAUUCCCAGAGUAGCCUUCCCUACUUCUUAUGAAGUUGGUAAAGUGGUGCACGCUCGGUGACAUUCCUUCACUCUUUCCUUGUUGUUUAUCUUGCAUGUUAUAUGUUGAGCCUAGCACCUAUUCUAUAUCUCUUUAUUGCUCUACUUAGUUGGUUGCAUACCCAGUAUCAUAUUUUAGAAGUAGAACGGUUCUGUGAUUAUUCUUGAGAAUUAUGACCUAGUCGGUCAGUGUGUUACAUCUCGUUUUAUGAUCUAGUUGGUCGUUUCUUGUAUCUCGUAUCUGUGACCUAUUCGGUCGGCUUACUGCAUUGUUAUCGUGACCUACUUGGUCGGUUGGACUAUUCGAUGACCUAUAUAGUCGGUAUAUCCUGAGGGGUAGGAUUGUUGGCUAGUGGCUUACGGUUAGUUCUCGAUUAUACCGAUGUAUGAUGUGACAUCCUUGUGACCUAUUGGUCGGUUCUUGUGUAUAUAGAUAUUAGUUGAUAUUGAGUGGUCAAUACUUGCAUAUCUUCGAAGGGAUGUUUAUUUGUUCCAUCCUAGUUGACCUGAGUGGUCGGUACUUGCGUUCCUUACAGUUCGAUGACCUAUUGGUCAGUGUGCCUCUAGUAGCUGCCGACGGUUGGCUAUUGAGCAUAUUAGCAUUGAUCGUCACUGCUCGCACGUAUUUUACGAACACCAGCGGUUUGGCCACCGCAAGAGGGUGUUUUUUUUCGAAAAAGUGGUUGGGAGGGCCAGCCCGUGAGACCUGGGUGCUUUAUGCGAGGGUUAUAUGAUUUCAGACCCGGGUGUUUUAUGCGAGGGUCAUGUGCUUUCUGACUCGGGUGCUAUAUGCGAGGGUCAUAUACCUUUCAGACCCGGGUGCUUUAUGUGAGGGUCAUGUAUAGGUUGAGCAGUUGUGGCACAAGCCUGAGGUGUUGCGGACCAAUAUGGCUGUUUUUAGAUUGGGUAUUUUGGACUUGUCGUCCGGUUGAUUCAUACAUAUAGUAGCGGUAGUUGUUCACUAUACCUCUUGUUCGUUUAUUAUUGUUGCUACUGUAUUAUCCUUACCCAUGCCUUUGUUAAUUUUCCGUGACUGGUGAGUACCCCUCGCCCUUGUGGGCUUGUGGUACCCACUGGGAUGGGAGGCAUGUUUACAUGUUCUCACCUCCCACCCCCAUUACAGGUUACGUCGCGGGUCCUAGUGAGACGGUUCGUGAGGAGCGCACUUAGCGGAUUGGUAGAGCUUUCGGACCCGUACAUUCUGUUAAACUCUUGAUCUGCUUUCCUUAAAUAAUGACUUAGAAUGCAUUUAUGCUUCAGUAUUUCAUGAUAAUUGAAUAAUUGAAAUUUCAUGAAUGUAAUUAAGGAUUUGUGAUUCUUGCAAAUUGAAAUGAUUUUCUGCCCCUCGUGGUAGCGAGUUUUAAAAGAAAAAGAUUUUCGUGUGGGAAACAGUUUUUAAAAGGAUUUUCUGGUUUUCCUGAUUAUUAGUAUUUCAAAAUGAGUUUUCAGGUAGAAAACGUUUUAAACUGAUAGAUGUGGAUUUAUGAAUGAUUAUGAUGCAUUAAAUGUGAAUAUGAAUGGUGUAUGAAUAUGUGUAUGUUCAGAUGUGGUGGUUGUAUCCUGUAUUGUGUAUAUUGUACUUGUGCGACGCCGUGCAAAUAUAGGGGAGACUCUAUCCGCGUGAACAGUGGACUUCCUGUAUUUGUGGCGGAUCUAGCAUACCAUGGGGGUCAGAUUUUUUAAAAAAAAUUUAGGCACUUCCGCUUUGAAUUUAUAACAAAAAGGGACCCCGCGGCAUGACAGAUUAAAGUGGUAUCAGAGACAAGUUACAACCACGGUACCAUUCACAGGUUAUUUUGAAAAAUAAAUAAACUGAACCAUUGGUUAGGUUGACCCAUAGGAAGACCUACGGUAUAUAGGCACGUGAGUGCGGGGUUUGGGCUUCAGUCCCAGUGUGCAUGUCGAGUUUGGUAAACUCGAAGUGCACGGUUAUUUUUGUAUGUGCCACAAUUUUUGCACAAGCUGGUGUCUUAGUCGGGAGUAGUGGCGGUGUACAUAUACGGACACUGAGUGGUUGGGUGACGUUUCCCAGGUGUAGCCACUCAUGUCGAGUGGGGCCUUGAAGGGCCAAGUGAUUUUUGGGCCUAGGUGAUUGUCCUAGCCGCCGGUUCCCGGGCCACUCUCCCUACUUAGGACACGAGAGCUACUUCGAGCGCCUCUACGGAGACGACACUAUGAUCAGUUAUAGUUGCGACUUCUGUGGAGCUAUUAGGGAGUAGCCCAAUGUGUUAAUAGCGGCCGUCUAGGCGACUGCAAUGUUGGCGUUACGUUCUUAGAUCUUUGGGUAAGAUUGUGAUGCCUAUCCCUCCUUCUUAUUUGCUGGUGGAAUCGUCGAGAGGGUCUUUUGACCUCUAACUUGUUCAUACGUCAAACUGACGUGUUCUAGAACUGGGUAGACACAGUUUUGGUGUCAAGUCUCUGUUAAUACAUACAUCAUAUGCGGUUAUCCUAACAUCUGAAUAGGUGUGUUGUAGGAUAGUAGAUGGUUUGGUAGUAUUUAUCUUGACUCGGGAUACUCGAGGGUAUUGUCGGAGUUCUCGGAGCUUUGGGUAUAGUGUGUGGUGCGGAAAUCGGUUAGAGAAACCGUUUCCUAAAGUCUCAGUUUGUGCAGUUCGCGGCUUAGUGUUGCCAGCAGCUUUAGGAUGUCGAAAGUUUUGGGACUCCCAGUGAGUCGGUUCAGGGUUAAUCUGAUUCUGAAUGUCGACUUGCAAAGUCGAUGUUUUGACGGUUUUGGUUGUGAACUUUUGGUUUAGUAAAGAAGUAUCAGGUGGCUAGAUACUUCGAUGUGUCAAGUUUUCAACUAGUUGUUGGUAGUAGAUCUUUGGGUAUUUCGCUUUUCUUUGAUAAGUACAUUGGCUGCAGACAAUGUACUGUUGAAAGUUAGGAUGAAAUACCCUUUUCCCCGCUGGGGAGUAUCUAGAUUGGGUCGGUGUGGUUGCAAGACGAACUUUAAAGAUUGUCUUGUGAGAAAGCUUGAGUGAUGGUCAUCUUUGACCACGUAGCGAGCCUUGGGUUAUUCCCUGGCAGGUUUUGCGCAGUUGACUUAUCAUCACUGCAAAAGAGGUUUUGACUCGGCCUUUUGCCAGGAGGUUCGGAAUCACGGUUGAUGAGUGACUUGAGCCUGGUUGUUGGCUUUGAUUGUCACGGUAUGUGAUAGCGUAUAAGAUUUGCAUCUUGGCUUAUCGUGCAAACCUUGGAAUGGUAUGCUUGUCCGGUUAUUUGGUGACAGGUGCGCCUGGGUCUCAAUGAGACAGGUGUUUGGUGUUGUUAGAAACAUCGAUCGCUAGGGUCCUUUUAGGAUGGCAGUGGCAGGGUCUCGUGGAGACAGAUAUUGGGCAUCACCGAUGGUUAUUGUCGCAUAUUGCGAUUGGCAACCCUGUGCAUCAAGUGAUGGACUUGCAAGGAGCAUAUGGUGGUCUGAUGGUACCUGAUUAAGUUAUUGAGGAGACAAAAUUGUCGAGCUCAAUUGGUAAUGUCAUCCUUGGACCUUUUGGCCAGGCGGAAGGUGGGGUCUUGGACCUAAGACUAUCGUAGUGCCGCAUGUGGCUUUUCGCUGAUGGGAUUUGACUUCAGUUGUUUGUGUUUUAAACUGGUGAGAGACUGUGGUCUCCGAGGUGAGUGUUUUUUACUCAGAUUUUUGGGACAACGAUACGUAUUCGCUUGUGGUGAGCUGGUUGACGUUGUUGGCUAGUAAGAGUGUGUUGUUUCGGCCUACGAAAAUAUACUCCAGACUUGUGGUGUUGUCCCGCGACUUUUCUACGUGAACUUUCGACGUAGUCGAGUUGGUUAUUGCUAGCCAGACCAAGGUUGGGUGGACCUAGUGCUUCUGAGUGGUGAAUUGUUAUCUCAGAAUUAGCAAAUUUGGGAUCGAAUAAUCCUGGUCGCAGAACUGUUUUGUCCGCAGAUUAUAGGAUGUGAUCCCUGCGGGUUUUGGUCCAUAGAUUUUUGAGUUGGUACGUUUUCCCUCAUCUUGUUCGAGUGGAACCGCAGUUCUAUUCUUCCUUUCUUCGGAGGUUCAUCUAUCCAGAUUCAAGGAAUUGGGACUGAUCAAUACUCAAAGGUGACAUCACAGUGGUGAUAUAGUAUCCGAAUUUGAUUAUGAUGGGUACGUGGUCAAGUUUCGGGGACAAAACUUCAUUUAAGGGGGGGAUAAUGUGAGAACUGAGAUUUUGCAAUGUAGCUAAUCUCUUUGUUGACGAUGUUUUUGUGUGUAAUUUAAUUACAAAAGCACUCGUCAAGUUUUAGAAAAAAAUGAGUUAGAAUGGAAAAGUUACGCGAUCAUUACUAAUCACUUAAAGUGAAUAGUAACUUCGAUUUUCUAGAGAGGCUGAUCAGUGGAGAUGGCUUCUGGUGCGUAUCGGACUCCGUUCAUAGCACUCCAAUAGCUCAUUUUUAAUGGUUCGACUAUUCUGAGACCAUUGGCGCUGACGGAUUUUAGAUCUGACGCGCGAUUUUCGAGGAAACUAGAGAUACAUAUAAUUUAUGUAUUUGUGCGUAGUUUUCCCUUUUUGGUGAGAGGAUGAGUUCUGUUGUGAAUUGGUGACCCAAUCGGAUGAAAAAAAUUAUAGAUUCGAUGCCACAGUUGUGCUGAACGCGCUGGCGCAAUCCGAUCGAAGAUCCGACGGACGGAUCUUUGGGAAUCGCGAAAAGUUCGCUGAAGGGUCGAAAUUGGCAAAACGGAAAAUUUGCGAGAAAGCCUAAUAUUUUAUGUACCGUUUUGCGUGAUUUCGAACAUCGAGGUGCGUACGCGCGAAAUGCACACGCUGUGAGGGACUUGGCUAUAAAUAUCCAUCUCUGAGGGACUAAAUUGCUUAUUGGCCAGCAUAUAUAUAUAUAUAUAUUGUAACCUAGGGUUUCAUGGAGGAAACCCUAACCCUAGCUGACCAGCUGCCUCAUCUGAGCCCCAGCCGCCACCAGCACCUUUGUACCCUAGCCGCGCGCAUAUCCCGGCCGCCGGCGAGCAACCCCGGCCUCCGAAAAUCGAGCUGGCAUUGGAAACCUCCACUCGGAUUUCCUCCUCUCUGCCGUGAGCCACCUAGAGUCACCCACACACGUUGAGCCAUCGUCCCCUUGCCGAGACCAACCUCCGGCGUCAUCCCCACCGGCCCCCGCCGCCCACGUGCGCCGCCGGCGCCCCCUGGGCUUCCUGCGGCCAGCCCAGACCCAGCUCGAGACGAGCUCAGCCUAGCCCAAGGCCCGUCUGCCGCCGCCACACUUGGCCAGCCACGCCGCCCUCCUGGGCCUCUUGCGACCCCUCGCCGUCGGCGCCGCUGUUGCUGCGGGCCCCCGGCUGCCGCCUUAACUCCCUGCGGCAGCCAAGACUCAGUUCGGGCUGAGCCUUAGCCGCAUCACCUCCACGCGCCGCCACCACCGUUGGUCUACCGUGUCGUACUCCCCCGGCCUCCGGCGACCAGUUGCCGCCGCCCCGGAACUUCCGCCGCCGCCGCCUGGCCGCCGUCAACCCGUGAACCCGAGCCCUAGCUCGUACGAGCUCGGCUUGCUCUGCCGCCGGCCGUCGACUGCACCCAUCGACCGCCGGUGCGCCCGCCGCAAAGUCGCCGUCGGCCGUGCCCUAGCCCCUCUGCUCGGUGAGCUUUAUUUCAUGCUGCCUGUGCAUAGUUUCGGGUUCGUGAUUAUUUUUUCGACGGUCCGAGGCUGUCCCGAUGCCUCCGGAGGUGAGCACGGUGAUCACUGGUUAGUGCUGAUCAUAGUGCUCACCUCACUUUGGAUAAGCGGAUUUCCGAAGUUGCUUUUUGGCGCUAUUUUCCCCAAGUGCGCGCUGUUCGCUGAAGGUUCGGGUCGCUCCCGCGCCUCCUACAGUGUGAGCACGGCCUCCGGCACAUCAAAACCUGUUUGCGGGUGUCUCGGCCAGAUUGGAAGAUCCUCGAUUUGCGCUGUCGGGCCAUAAGACCCCGAAAAUCACAUAGAAUGAUGUAAUUUUAUGUAGUCGCAGGGGCUUUUAUGCAAUUUUACACUGCGUGGGUGCUGUUGGCAGCGUGUGGGGGCAGCGGGUGACCUCUGGACUGGUUGUCCAAGGCCCCAGGCUUUUUCAGAAAACGAACUUUGAUUUCCGGUGCGUUUUUCGGCUAAAUCUGCCGAUGGAGUGCGUUUUCGGUUCGGAAUUCUUCCGAUGGUGCCUCACGGUAGAUCACAUUGUCGCUGAGCCUUGUUGGCUGGUCACCCGCGUCGUUUCGAGUGUUCGAAAAUGAUGGGUGAGCGACGGUGGGUGCCGGUGUCGAAUUGGACACUUCGAGGGAUCCGAAUCGGAACUAUUAUCCGACGAUAAUCGUUUCGAUGUGAGGAGGUGUGUUUGCGGCCAAGUCACACGAAUAAUUAUGUUUAGUGGAGCGGAUGACUCGUAGCGUGAGUUGGUGAGUUCCGGGACAGUUCGUGAGUCCCGGCGGAGUCCCGGUGCGAUUUUCGUGACUUCUGGCGUUUUACGGCAUUCGGUUUGGGAAAGCAAUUCCCGUGGGUAUACAAGUGGGGGAUUGUGAUGUAGUGAUUCGUAUUCGUGGGUUGGACUCUAACCUAGUGGACCCUUUAUAGGUCCGGUUGAUUCUUCUCCGCAAUCGGGAGGCCAGUGCCAGAUACGUACAGGUGGGUACUUCGACCCAAAGUCGGUACAGUGGUGCACGCUCGAUGACAUUCCAUUCACUCUUUCCUUGUUGUUUAUCGUGCAUGUUAUAUGUUGAGCCUAGCACUUAUUCCAUAUCUCUUUAUUGCUCUACUUAGUUGGUUGCAUACCCAGUAUCAUAUUUUAGAAGUAGAGCGGGUCUGUGAUUAUUCGUGAGAAUUAUGACCUAGUCGGUCAGUGUGUUGCAUCUGGUUUUGUGACCUAGUUGGUCGGUUCUUGUAUCUCAUAUCUGUGACCUAUUUGGUCGGCUUACUGCAUUGUUAUCGUGACCUACUUGGUCGGUUGGACUAUUCGAUGGCUUAUACGGUCGGUAUACCUUGAGGGGUAGGAUUGUCGGCUAGUGGCUUAUGGUUAGUUCUGGAUUAUACCAAUGUAUGAUGUGACAUCCUUGUGACCUAUUGGUCGGUUCUUGUGUAUAUAGAUGUUAGUUGACAUUGAGUGGUCGAUACUUGCAUAUCUUCGAAGGGAUGUUGAGUUGUUCCAUCCUAGUUGACCUAAGUUGUCGGUACUUGCGUUCCUUACAGUUCGAUGACCUAUUGGUCAGUGUGCCUAGAGGGGCGGUGAUUGUCGGCUAGUUGCCGACGGUUGUCUAUUGAGCAUAUUAACAUUGAUCGCCAUUGCUCGCACGGAUUUCACGAACACCAGCGGUUUGGCCACCGCAAAUGGGUGUUCUUUUUCGAAAAAGUGGUUGGGAGGGCCACCCCGUGAGACCCGGGUGCUUUAUGCAAGGGUUAUAUGAUUUCAGAGCUGGGUGCUUUAUGCGAGGGUCAUGUGCUUUCAGACUCGGGUGCUUUAUGUGAGGGUCAUAUACCUUUCAGACCCGGGUGCUUUAUGCGAGGGUCAGGUACAGGUUGAGCAGUUGUAGCACAGGCCUGAGGUUUGUCGAGGGCUUUUCGAAAUUGCUACCCUACUGAACAAGCUGACAAGGAAAGGUGAGAAGUUCUUGUGGACUUUGGAGUGCCAAAGGAGUUUUGAGGAACUUAAGGACAAGUUGACCCACACCCCCGUCUUGGCUUUGUCGUGACCCGGUGAGGAUUUCGUGAUCUAUUGCGAUGCCUCACGGAUCUAACUGGGGUGUGUUCUUAUGUAGUAAGAUCGGGUCAUCGCCUAUGCAUUGCGUCAGCUGAAGUAUUAUGAGAGAACUACCUAACUCAUGAUUUCGAGCUUGCAGCAGUGGUGUUCGCCCUUAAGUUAUGGAGGCACUAUCUCUAUGGGGCACAUUGCGAGGUGUUUUCAGACUACCAGAGCCUGAAGUAUCUCUUCACUUAGAAAGAGUUGAACCUCGGGCAAAGGCGGUGGCUUAAGCUUUCGAAGGAUUACAAUCUCUCUAUCUAGUAUCAUCCGGGAAAGGCGAACAUGGUGGCAGACGCCUUGAGCUGGAAGUAGUCUUCAGCUAAUCUGUCUUUCAUGCUCACUGAACAGGAUCACUUAAUUGAGGAGUUUCGUCGAUUGGAGUUGGAGUUUCUACCCACUAGGGCCACGGCCCAGCUGUUGACUCAAGUUAUGCAGCCUGACUUAGCAGACCGGAUUUCACUUGAGCAGCAAUCCGAUCUGUAUCUUUAGAAAAUUCGGGCGGAGGUCGAGCAAGGCAAAGUAGGAGAUUUCACGAUCUACUCCGACGGGUCUCUUCGCUUUUGGGUCCAGAGGUGUGUGCAUGAGGAUCUGGAUUUGAAGAGGGACAUCCUAUUUGAGGCACAUCGUCCCCGUACGCUGUGCAUCCCGGUGGAACCAAGAUGUACCGCAACCUGAGGCAACACUUUUGGUGGCGCGGUAUGAAGCUGGACGUAGCCCAGAACAUGGCUUAGUGCCUGGUCUGUCAGCAAGUUAAGGCUGAGCACCAGCGACCUUCCGAAAAGCUGCAACCACUUUCGGAGCCUGUGUGGAAGUGGGAGCAGAUUAUCAUGGAUUUCGUCACAGGUUUGCCUCGAUCACAACAAGGCCAUGAUGCGAUCUUGGUCAUCGUGGAUCGAUUGACGAAGUCGGCCCACUUUCUGACGGUGCACACGGCGUGGUCCCGUGGCCGAUUGGCACAACUUUAUCUCGACGAGAUUGUCAGGCUUCAUGGGGUACCGGUGAUGAUCGUUUCGGAUAGGGACACACGUUUUGUAUCCUAAUUUUGGAGGAGCUUACAGCAGGCUUUGGGUAUGAAGCUGAACUUCAGUACGACUUUCCACCUGCAGAGCGACGGUCAGUCCAAGUGUGUCAUCCAGACGCUCGAGGACAUGCUUCGUGCCUGUGUCCUAGACUACAGUGAGGGAUGGUUCAAGUUUCUACCGCUGGUGGAAUGUGCCUAUAACAAUAGUUAUCAGGCGAGUAUCGAGUGAUGCCAUAUCAGGCUUUAUAUGGGCGACGAUGUCGAUCCCCUAUCGGUUGGGACGAUGUUGGUGAGCGCCGGGUGAUCGGGUCUGACUUGUUGGAGGAUGCGGAAACCAAGAUUCGUAUUGCGAGGGAGUCACUACUAACCGCACAGAGUCAGCAGAAGAGCUAUGUAGACCAGUGACGACAUGGCCUGGAGUUCUAGGUCGGCGAGCAUGUACUGCUCAAAGUGUCGUUGUCUAGAGGGAUCAAACGGUUCGGGUUGCGAAACAAGCUUAGUCCGCGGUUUGCCGGACCGUUCGAGAUCCUUGAGCGUGUGGUGUAGUGGCGUAUCGGUUUGCUCUUCCUCCGAGUCUCGCUCGGGUGCAUAAUAUGUUUCACCUGUCCAUGCUUCAAAAGUACUUCCCAGAUCCGCCCCACAUUAUCAGUCCGACAACUAUUAGCUGCAGACUGCGGGAGGAUCUCAGUUACGAGAAGGCUCCGUUGAGGAUUCUGGCACAUGAGGUGAAGCUGCUGAGGAAUCGAGGAAUUCUGUAUGUGAAGGUUCUGUGGAAAAACCACGAAUAGCGUGAAGCUACCUAGGAGCUUGAGUUGGUUAUGCAGGAGCGAUAUCCUCGGUUGUUUAGGAGAGCGGAGUGAUUAAGUUACGAGGACAAAACUUUAGGAGGGGAUAAUGUAAUACCUGAGAAUUUAAAUUUGAAAUUUAAAAUUUGAAUUUGAAUUUCUAUAUGUAUAUAUAACUUGCAUAUAUAUAUAUAUAUAUAUAUAUAUAUAUAUAUAUAUAUAUAUAUAUAUAUGUGUGUGUGUGUGUUCGAUUAAGGAAGCAGAGAGGGAUCAGUUCUGUCGCGAAUCGGUGACCGAUUCGAACGAAACAAAAUCGCAGGUCUGAAGGUCUGGUAGUGCUGGAAGUACUGACGUGAUCCGUUCGUAAAUCCGACGAACUGAUCAUCCGAAUUGGCACGUUGUUCAAGGGAGGGUUGAUAUUGCAUUUUGGGGUUUUUCGACGAAAGUCCCAAUAUUUUAUGCAUAGAAUCACGAGAGAUCACAAGUGGAGGUGUGUUGCGUUUUACAUGCGCCCUGAAGGACUUGGGGUGGAAUUUGAAGUGUACGAGGGGUUUGGUGAAAUUGUACAUCUAUGUAUAAAAGUUGUAUUAGGGUUUCCUCCUUAGCAAACCCUAACCCUAGCCUCCCUUCUCCACCCUAUGCCCUAGCCAUCUUCUCUCCCUCCCCUGACCUCGCCGCCCACCUCCCUAACCGCCGGCGUGCCCUUUCUGGGGAGCCCAGUCUGGCCACUAUCUUCUCUCACCCCUCUCUCAACCUUUCUCUCUCCUUUCCCUCUCCUCGUGCUUAGGCAACCCUGAGAGGAGGGCAGCUCUGCGGACCUCAUCUCCGGCACCCAAGACUCCGACCUUUUCCCUUUCGGGAGCCCCGUCGCCGUCAAGCGCCGCCAGAGAUCGCUGCAGCCUUCCAAGGCAGGUGCGGGCAGAGGCAGCUGUGCAUCAUCACAAUGCCGCCGCGGCCCCUGAGCAUCGCAGCCGCCUUCCUCCGAUCGUGGGGGACACGCCGUCGCCGACGCUUACUUUCCUAACAGCCACCGUCGCCGGAAGAACCACCCAGACCGAGCCCUAGCGUCAAUUAGGCCGAGCUUAUCCCGACGUCGCCGCCACCGCUACUCGUCGCCACUGGCCAAGGUGAGCCUCGCACUCCUUUCCCUCUCCGCUCUCGACCCUAAGGUGCGCGCCCGCUGCCGUGUCACCGGUGGCUGGUCGGAGCCAUUAGUUCCCUGCCAAGCCCGAAUGUAUGUUGUUUUUGCCAUAGCUACUAUUCCGGUGAUCCUGAGGCCCCACGAUCUUCCGAAAGGUGAGCAUGGUGACCUAGAUCCAUCGUUGUUCACCGUGCCCACCUCAGUUUUUGUCGGAGAGGCUGUGACUCGCUAGUUUUGCGAUGUCGCCCUCGGGACCUAUAUAUUUGUACGGUAUUCUUCGACCUAGAGUUUUCCCAGGUUGUUUUUCUAGCCCGGUCAGUGAGCACAGACUUCGUUGCAUCGAGACCUAUCCCCUGGUGCCCUCGGUUGGUCUCGCAGAUGCACAACGUGCCUUACCGGCCCCGUUUAGUGUGUAUUUUACACAUUUGACCCUUUUUUAGGGGCGUCUUUGUAAUUUUGGCAGUGGGGCUGCCUCGGGCAGUGUGUGUCCACCUGAUGUAGUCUGUUAGACUGGUUGUCCAAGUCGCUGAGGCCCUCGCGGAAAUCAGAUUCGAUUUUCGAAGCGUUUCUCGACAAAAUCGUCGACGAAACGCGGUGACUGUUGUGGGGUCCACUUGUUAGUAGUGUCAUCACCCCAUGUGUCGCAGAGCCUCGUUGGCUAGUUUUUCACUUAGUGUCUCAAGUCUCCAAAGACAACAAGUGAGCGACGGAGGGUUCCGAUGCUGUAAACAGCAAUUUCGAGAACCCGAAACGGUUUUAUGAGCAUUAUGGUGCAUCCAUAUGUUGUGGGCUUGUGGUGGCUAUUUGAACACCCAUCACUACAACAAAUUUAUGAUUUAGCGGCAUUUACUCUGCAACAUUUAUUUAAAUAAUACCAAUUAAUAUAUUUAAUAGCAUUACUUAAUAAUUGCCGCUAGAUUUAGUAAUUUAGCAGCAAUUUACUAUUAAUGUUGCAAAAUAUGAUAAAUUAGUAGCAUAAAUUAGUGAAUGCCGUUGAAAUUUCCAGCAUUUUGUAAAAAAAUGACACUAAAUGUAAUAAAAUAGCAACACUUAUUGCUAAAUGCCGCGAUAUUUGCUCCGCAAUAUUUAUUUAAAUCAUGCUAAUUAAUAUAUUUAACAACAUUAAUUGAUAAUUGCCGCUAGAUUUAAUUAUUUAAUGUUGUAAAAUAGGAUAAAUUAGCCGCGUAAAUUAGUGUCCCGUUAAAUAUAAUAAAUUUAGCAGCACUUAUUGCUAAAUAUCGUUACUAAUCAAUAUAUAAUUAUUAAUAUAUCCCUUUUUACUUAGAACUAAAAAAUUUUAAAUUAAACUUUAAAAAUUUGAAACUUAUAAUUUUAAAUUUUAAAUUUUAAACUCUAAAAUUUUUAACUUUUAAUUUUUAAUUUUUAAAAUUUUAAAUUUAUUUUAAAUUUAAAACUAGUUGCUAGUACAAGUGGCAAAGUGCUUGGUGUUUUUUACCUGAGGUCUCAAGUUCAAAUCCUAGUUGAUUCACAUUUUCAGCUAAGUUUAUUUCUAAAAAAAUAAACCAAGCGGGUAGCAUGCUAUCUUUCUCUCAAAAAAAAAAUCAAAUAUAAAUUUAAAAUAAAAUUAAAAUAUAAAAUUUUAGUUCCUAAAAUCAUAUAGUUGUAUUAGCGGCAUUACAUUUAUGUGCCACUAAUAAACAACUUAAAAUUAGCAUUUAAUCCCUUUUAGCGGCAUGCUAUUAAUGACACUAAUUGCAGCAUGCUCCUAAUGACACUAAUUGAUUUACAUUGACAUCAAUUAUAAUACUUUUAGCAGCAUUUGUUGAUCAUUUAGCAGCGUAAAUAAAUGCCACUAAUGACUAAUUUUUUAGUAGUGCAUGUUGAUGCGUUUCAGGACAGCGGUGAUUAGUGUUGUAUUAUAGUAUCUUCCGAAACACCCUGUGGCAAUCGAAAGUGUUUCGAUGGACUUUUGGAACUCUCGGCAGUUUUGGGGUUGUGAGUUUAGUGCUUUAGAGUCAUUUUGGUGGAUCUUGACUCGGUGAGUCUUUCCUAGGUCUAGUCGACGUCCCAGCGUGCCUUGAGCAUUAGACGUUGCGACGACUUCAGGUGGGUGCUUCUAUCCAGAGUCGGUACAGUGGUGCUAGCUCGGUGAUAUUCUCCCCUUACCCUUGUCACACCCGGGCCCCAGCGGAAGCCUGCCCAGUGCGUGCCCAGACCCGCCGCCAUAUGCCAAGAACAUAUAAGGCAUCUACAAUAAUUAUAACGAGAAAAUACAAGAUAAAAGUAAUGUCUAGAAUGAUAUCAGAGCGUGGAAUAUAAACUACUCCCUAAAAACAAGUAUAGGAAGGUAAAAUGGCUAAACAAUAAUAAUCCACAAAAUAAUACAUACAAUCUGAAAUCCACAUAAGAUAAAACUAAAUACAAAAUGGUGAUCUCUAUACAUCGGGUACAAAGCAUCUCUCUCCAACUACAACAAAAGGAGAAAUGACCACCUAGCAGAAACUCUCGGCUAAGUCUAGCUAGUCGCGACCCCCUUGCCGCGGUCCCUAGCCUCUCCCGGUGUGGAUAGCUCUGUAAAUAAAAACAUCAACAAAGUGGGAAUGAGAACUAUUAGUCAAUAGUUCCAAGUGGGUAACCCGCCGACAUCAACGAAUUAUACCACUAGGUCAUCGAGGUAUAAGUAGUAAAUAAGCAUAACUAGAUAAGCAACAUGAAUAUUGAGCAUGUAAUAAUUUACUAAGCUACUAUGCCUCUAUUUAGCAUGAUGUUUUAGCAUGUAACGAAGCUAUUCUAACAUGAAUGAGCAUGUCCAACUAGUAUGCACUAUUUAGUAGUGAUGGUCACAUUAUAUUUUUAAAUGUCAUUGUUCAAUUCAAUUAGGACCUACACAAGUGUAGUCCGGCUUGCGCCAUGCCUAGUGGCCCCGUGGUAGUCAAUAUUCCCCCUCUAGGAAUGACCCUCCCCCACACGGCAUCCCACUACGGCGCCCAAUCCCGCACGGGCGAGCAUGUGUCUCGUAGGCCAACUCCAGAGUGCCGGCUUGUAGGGAAUCCUCACAAGCAUGUGCGAAUGAGCACAAUGGCAAGCAAGCAUAAUCAUCCAUAUCAAUUCCUCGGUCAUCAUGUCCAAAACAGGGUACAAGUACUAGCGACCCAACGGUCGGUCUCUAUGUCACAUUGUAGAGGUUUAGUCAUUUACUAAGUCAAGUGUCACUACAUGAUAUUCAUGUUAACUAUGUCAAGCAUAAAUCAUUUGUUCAUGAGCAUGUAGAACUUGUCAUUUCACUAAUCAUAAUAUGAUUUCUAACAUGGCAUGAAGGAUAUCUUUUCACAUGCAAGUUCCAUAUACAGCUCUCACUCUACUAUAUAGAGGAUGUAAUCUUGACAUGUAACAUGUAUAUCUUAAGCAUUCAAAAAUUCAAACUUUGGAAUGGUAUGCUUGUUGGGUCAUUUGGUGACAGGUGUGCCUGGGUCUUAAUGAGACAGGUAUUUGGUAUUGCUGGGAAUAUCGAUCGCUAGGGUCCCUCGUAGGACGGCAGCAAUAGGGUCUCGUAGAGACAGGUGUUGGGCCGAUGGUUAUUAUCGCAUAUUGCGAUGGGCAACCCUGUGCAUCAAGUGAUGGACUCGCAAGGAACAUAUGUUGGUCUGUUGGUACCAGAUUAAGUUUUGAGGAGACAAAAUUGUUGAGCUCAAUUGAUAAUGUCAGCCUUGGAUCUUAGGGCCAGGCAAAAAGUUAGGUCUUGAACCUAGGAGUGUCGAAUACUGUAUGUGGGUUUUCGAUACUAAGGGUUUGACUUUGGCUCUUUGUUUAUCUGACCAGUGGGAGACUGUGGUCUUCAAGGUGAAUGCCUUUGACUCAGGUUUUAGGACAGCAAUGCGCCUACGUUCGAGGUGAGCUGAUUGACGUUGUUGGCUAGUCGGAGUGUGUCGUUUCGACCUAUGGAAAUAUACUCCAGACUUGUGGAAUUGUCCCGAGACUUUUCUACGUGAACUUUCGACGAAGUAGAGUCGGUUGCUGCUACGCGGACCAAGGUUGGAUGGACCUAGAGUUCUGAGUAGUGAAUUAUUAUCUCAGAUUUGGCAAACUUGGGAUCAGAUAAUCCUGGUCGCAGAACUGUUUUGUCUGCAGGUCAUAGGAUGGUGUUGAUCCCGGUGGGUCCUGGUCUAUAGAUUUUGGGUUAGUAUUUUUCCUUCUCUCGUCUCGUCCAAGUGGAACCGCAGUUCUAUUCUCCAAUUCUUUGGAGGUUGAUCUAUCCAGAUUUAAGGAAAUAUGACUGACCAGUACUCAAAGGUGAUACCGCAGUGGUGGAGUAAUAUUCGAAUUCGAUUACGGUGAGUACAUGGUCAAGUUUUAGGGAUGAAACUCCUUUUAAGAGGGGGAUAAUGUAAAGACUGAGAUUUUGGCAAAGUAGCUAAACUCUCUGUUCACGAUAUUUUUGUGUGUAAUUUAAUUACAUAAGCACUCGUCAAGUUUCAGGAGAAAAUAAGUUAGGAUGGAGAGGUUACGCGACCUUUACUAAUCACUUAAAGUGAAUAGUAACUCUGGUUUUCCGGAGAAGCCAAUGAGUGGAGAUGGCUUCUAGUGCGUAUUGGACUCCGUCCAUAGUGAUCCAAUAGCUCAUUUUCAAUGGUUAACUGUCCUCGACCCAAUGGCACUGAUGGAUUUGGGUUUUAAUGCACGGUUUUCGAGAAAAAAGAGUUUUAUCGAAAAGAGGGUUUUCAUUCCUUACUGUUCUUGCAUUAUAAAGCUCCUCGUGCUCUGUGCAUAUGACCUGGAGUAGGGUGAAGGAUGUUUUGGGUACCUACUAGUGGUAGGGAUGUCAAAUUCGAAUUUGAAUUUAAGGUUUUUUUGGGUUUACACAUAUGUGCAGGUGUGGUGUUUGGAAAUUUGGAGAGGGAAUGUGUUUCGUCGCAAAUCGGCAACCGAAUCGGAUGAAACAAAAUUGUAGUUUCAAUGCCCCCGUCGUGUUGAACGCGAAGGCACAGUCCGAUCUAAAAUCCGAUAGAUGGAUCUCCGGGAAUCGUGUAAAGUUCGCAGAGGGGCCGAAAUGGGCAAAAAAAUGGUAAACUCACGAAAGCCUUAUUUUUUAUGUAUCGUUUCGCACGAUUUCGAACGUCGAUGUGCGUUUGCGCAAAACGCUUGUGCAGUGAGGGAUUGAGAUAGAAAUAUUCAGACUUGUAGGACUUUUUGGCAAAAUCACAUUUGUGUUCAUAUAUAGGUAUUAGGGUUUCAUACAUGAAACCCUAACCCUAACCGAGCUUCUCCUCCAUCUGCACCGUAGCCGUCUCCAAAACCUCUCUGCCUUAGCUGCGCACGCACCCCAGCCGCCGACAAUGCAUCCUCGGCCGUCGGAAAUCGAGCCGACUUUGUGUUCACUCCACCCUGGGUUCCUCUCCUCUCUGCCGUGAACCAUCCCUGGGUGAUCUACACCUUCGGCCCCCUCCCCUGGCCGUGCCCGACCUCCGGCGACAGCCGGCGUGCUGCUGCCGCGUCUCUGCGCGCAGCCGCUGCCGCCUUAGCAGCCUGCGGCCUGGAUGGCCAAGCUCGAGCCGAGACUAGGUUGCUGCUGGCCUGCGCGCCGCCACCGCCUUGUGACGGCCAUGCCGCCUCCCUCCGGCCUCCAGUAGGCAAUCGCCACCGACCGGCACCGUCCCCAUAGGCCGCCGCCGCCUCUAGAUCCCUGCGGCUACCCCGAGCCAACUCGGGCUGGUGUGGCCGAACCUUGCCGUCCCAUCGCCUCGGCCGCCGGCCGCCGUCUUAGCCUCCUUCUCUAGGUGCCAGAGGAUGGCCGCGCCCCUCCACUAUUUGCUCCGGCCCACGUCAGGGCUGGAGGAACUCUCUGAGCCCGGGCUGAGGCCGUGCGUGCUCGGUUCCUCCCCGCGCCGCCUCCCGCCACCGGCUGGGGUGAGCACUGGCUCCCCAUGGUCGGCCGCACCCGAGUGCCGCCGGCGAUCCCGCAGCAGGAGCCCCAGCCGGCCGGACUUGGAGCCGAGCUCCCCACCACCUUGUGCUGCUAGGGAAUUAAUGCCCGCCGCCGCCGCCGCCUCUCGUCGCCGCCGCCGCCUCUCGUCGCCGGAAGACGCACGCCCCGGCCUUCCUUUGUCGCUCGCACCUGCCUGUCGCCGGCCAUGCCCGAGCGCCCCAUGGUUCGGUGAGUUCUAUUUCACUGUUUUGUGCACAGUCUCAGGUUCGGAUCACUGUUUCGGCAAUCCAAGGACACCCCGACACUCUUGGAAGUGAGCACGAUGAUCCCUGAUCCGUGCUGAACAUCGUGCUCACCUCCGUUGGGGUCAACGAUGCCCCAGUUUAGGUGUUAAACGCAGUUUGGCACUAUGUGCGCUGUUUCGCCGAACUUCGCGUCGCUCGUACGCUUGCCACAGUGGCCGGCAGUGAUCCGAAGUGUGAGCACGGCCUUUGGCACACCGAGACCUGUCAGUUGGUGUCUCGGCUUAGCUAGAAUACUCUCGGUUUGCGCGGUCGAGUCGUAAAACCCUGAAAAUCAUAUAAAAUAAUGUGAUUUUACGUAGUCGCCGGGGUUUCUAUGCAAUUGUACUAUUGGUGGUCGCUGUUGGCAGCGUGUGCAGGCAGUGGGUGACCUCUGGACUGAUUGUCCAAGGCCCCAGGCCUUUUCGGAGAAAGAAAAUUGAUUUUCUCUGCGUUUGUCGGCAAAAUCCGCCGAUGGAACGUGUUUUCAGCUCGGAAUUAUUCCGACGGUGCCUCAUGAUAAUUUGUGUCAUCGCUAAGCCUUGUUGGCUGGUCACCCGCGUCGUUUCGAGGGUUCGGAAAUGACGGGUGAGCGACGGUGGGUUCCGAUGUCGAAUUGGACACUUCCGGGAAUCCGGAUCCGAAACGAUUAUCCGACGAUAAUCGUUUCGAUGUAAGGAGGUGUGUUUGCUGCCAAGUCCCAUGAAUAAUGGUGUUUAGUGGUAGCAAGUGACUCGUAGCAUGAGUCGGUGAGUUCCGGGACAGUUCGUGAGUUCCGGCGGAGCCCCGGUGCGAUUUUCGAGACUUCCGGUGGGAUUCGGCAAUCGAUUUUGGGAAACAGAUUCCCGUAUGUUUAUUGGUGGGGUUUGUGAGUUAGUGAUUCAUGUUGUGGUUUGGAUGCUAACCCGGUGGACCUUUCGUAGGUCCGGUUAAUUCUUCUCCGCAGUCGGAAGACUAGUAUUGUAUUCGUACAGGUGGGUACUUCGAUCCGAAGUCAAUACAGUGGUGCACGCUCAAUGAUAUCUUAUUACCCUUAUCCUCCCGUUAUUACUCUACAUGCAUAUAUAUAUAUAUAUAUAUAUAUAUAUAUAGUGUUGAGCUUAGCACCUGGUUAUCUCUAUCUAUCGCUUUAUUGAUUGUUUAUACUUCUAGCUUUGUGAGUAGGAGUAGAGCAUGUUUUAUCUACAUAUGAUAUCUGUGACCUAGUUGGUCGGUUGUUGUAUUCCGUAUCUGUGACCUAUUCGGUCGGUUUACUGCAUUGUUAUCGUGACCUACUUGGUCGAUUGGUCUACUUGGUGACCUAUACGGUCGGUAUGCCCUGAGGGCCAGGAUUGUCUGCUAGUUGCCGACGGUUGGCUAUUGAGCAUAUCAGCAUUGAUCGCCCGAGACUCGUACGCAUUUCGCGAACACCAGCGGUCUAAUCCACCGUGGCUAGGUAUUUUUUUCCGAAAAAGUGGUUGGAUGUGCCAACUCGUGAGCCCAGUGGCCUAAGCUGGGUCAUAUGCAGGUAGAGUGGCAGUGGCAUAUGUCACGCCCCGGGGUCCCUUUUAGUUUGAAAAUACAGCGGAAGUGACUAGAAAUUUUUUUUUUGAAAACCUAACCCCAGGGUAUGCCAGAUCCGCCACAAAUAUAGGGAUUCCACUGUUUACACAGACAGUCUCCCCUGUAUUUGCACGGCGUCGCACAAGUACAAGAUGUAAAACAUGAUACAACCACAACUAAAUGAAUAUACAAAUCAUCAUAUAUUCAAUAUUCAUACACCAUUCACCACAGGUUCAUAAACAUAGAUCUGAAUAUAAAUCCACAACUAUCAGUUGAAACGUUUCCUACUCAGAAACUUAUUUUGAAAUACUAAUUCAAGAAGAUCAUGAGAAAACUCUUUUGAAAGCUGUUUCUCACACGGAAAUCUUUUCUGUUAAAAACACAUUACCACGAGGGGUAGAAAACCUUUUCUUUUUACAAAAAUCCAGAAAUCUUUAUCUUAUUCGGAAAACCAACUGAAAUCUUGAAUAAUUAAACAUAAUGAAAUACUGAACCAUAUAGAUGUCUAAGUCAUGUCAACAGAAAU